UGUUGUAAAAAAAUAGCACGCAUCUAGUGCGUGAAAAUAUAUAUGCACAUGUACAUCCGUGCGUUCAAGCUGAAAAUGCACGGAGCACACAUGGUGCCUCUGUUCCAAAUUAUUUUGCACAGGAAGAUUGUCCCUGUUUAAAAAGAAAUAGGCAGCACUGGUUGAGGUUGUGUAUCAACCAGAGUAGUGGACCACAUGUACUGAUUGGAUAAUCUAUAUAGACCAUCGUAAUCCUCAUCAAUCACUGUCAAAGAUCAUAUCAUCAUCUAGGCAAUUUUGUUAAAUAUACAACAUUGUUUGCAGCAGUAUAUUAGGAGAAGCAGAACUUCGUCAUCCUUGAUGUAUCAUCAAUCACUGUCAAAGAUAUCGUCAUCUCAGCAAAAAAAUUAAAUAUACAACAUUGUUUCCUGCAGUAUAUUAGGAAAAGCAGAACUUCGUAAUCCUUGAUGUAUCAUCAAUCACUGUCAAAGAUCAUAUCAUCAUCUAGGCAAUUUUGUUAAAUAUAGAACAUUGUUUGCUGCAGUAUAUUAGCAGAAGCAGAACUUAUUGCAAGGAACAUGUUGAUAGCACCAUAUCAAAUUGUAUUCAGUUUGCUGCAUACCAUAGUGAUGUGGAUACUUAUGAAAUAUGUGUAGCUAGAAAUUAGAAACUCUGUGAACCUAAACUGUUGUGGCACAAGUGACUAUUAUAUGGAUGGUUCUGGUUUUAUUAAGAUAGGAAGAUGGAAUAUGUUUUCUUCCAAACAUACAUGAACACCAUGGCCAUGAUAGAAACAGAACAUUCAUGCUGUAGAAACGGCAAUAGAAAUCCCACCUCCAAUAGGAAAAUUAACUCUGAAAUUACUACUUGAAAUGAGCCAUGGGUGGCAGCUGUAGGAUUCCAACUUACAGGUAGCCUCAUGAUAUUUACCUGUGGUUGGGAAAAGGCCUACUGGUACCAAAAAUAUUAUUCAACAUGCAAAGAAAACAGCUAGGUACACUAAACUAUGAAUGGAGAUAACACAUUAAAUUGUUCAUACCCCCAAAAACCAUUAACUCGCAGGUCAUGGUGGGUCUUUCCUACUUCACCUGAACCCUGUCACGAGUUAUCCUCUCAACCUGCUAGAAAUACCACAACCUCUUUCAAGUUUCAUCAAUCCUACACAAUCCACCAUAAAGAUGUUCAUUAUAAGAAAUACAGCCUAUAUUUAUAAUAGAGAAUACUGAAGCAUUGCAUGUAUACUCAGUCGCUAACCUCUUAUGGCCAUUUUCUCAAACAUUUGAUGAGCCACUUAAUAAAAGAAAUCAAUCCUGAUGGUCACAAAAUCAUCACAUACAUGCAGCACACAGAAUGAUGUUUUCAAUCUUCUGCUGCUUCUUUUGUACUUACACAAGCCUAGGAACAAAAUCAACACAUUAGUAUGAUCUAUCCAACAUCAGUCAUUGGAGUUGAGACAACCAAAAUUGGCUAACAAGUUGUAAACUAACUUUGGAAAUCUCAUGCUACAUAAACAUAUCAAGCAAUUCCUCUCCUCUUCACCACCCGUUUUUUUCCACUCAGAGAAAAAUUCACAUGUUUGUCAAGAAAUCAUAGUUAAAAAAGCGCGCCUAGGCUCUAGGCGUUGGCAAAACGCAUUGCGCAUAACUACAUUUAAUCCGCGCAUAAUUGCGCAUAAGCAUGUGCUUUAGUCAGUAAAGCGCAAGCCGGUGGCAAAACGCACAAUUAACGUCUAGCGCUUUUUUGAACUAUGCAAGAAACCAAAAGGAACCUAACCCAAGGAAGAAAAUAGCUUGCAGCCACACAGGCAUUCUAUCGAGCAGGUCAAAAGCAUGGGAGAAAGAAAGAGGCUCACCUUGGAACAAACGCACAGGAGAAGACAAAGCAGCAAACCAGAAGAUGAAAACGAAAUAAGAAGAGGAGAGCAUGAAUGAGUAGAUAACGCAAGCAAUGGAGGCGCGAAAUCAAUCCGGUGGAAGAGCACGUAGAUCCCUACCCUAACCACACAUAGAAAUGACCCUCUGGACAGGGUGGAUCACAUCCCUCUGGUUCGAUCCCGUGCAGCGUCGUGUUCUUGCGCCGCCACUCCUGGCAGGGCCACAAGGCGUGAGGGGUGAGAGGCAACUAAUGAAGUAGAUCGACAUGGGAGGAGACGCACCCGAAAAAAGGGAUCGUGAGGUAGGAGGAGGCACAGAGUUCCUUACCUUGAUUCGGAUGUCGAAAUUGCCGAGGCGAACGCCGCCACCGCUGCCAUACGCGUCAAGGUCAUUGGCCAUGCUUGGCGGCACUCGGUGCUCCCUACACCGCGCCAUUCACUGGUGGUGGAGAGGAGAGGAGGCGGCCGCUCCCGAUGGUGGUUGCAAUGGCCCAUAUGCUACUUUCGUGGAUGCGGCCUAGCCGCUCAUCACUGUGGACGGGGGCAGGGGAGGAGGGAUGCGAGGCUGGAGGCAGAGGGGGGUUGAUGGAUAGGGUUGGCCAUAUACCUGGCCAAACGGGCCGGCCCGGCACGACACGACUCAGCCUAUGCUAAUCGUGCCUGGCCCGGCACGGCCCGCCAUGGCACGUUUAAUAGCCGGGCCGUGCCGGGCCAGCCCACGGGCGCUGCUCCUUGGCCCAGGCAUGGCCUGAUUAGUAAACGGGCCGGCCUGAUGGCCCGUUUAGCACGCUGGGCUGCACAUAUUCAGCCUGUUGGGCUGUUUUUUAGGCCUAUUGGUCUGUAUUUUAGAUAUAAAUAUAUAAAAAAUCUGAAAAUUAUAUAAGAAAAUUAAACGGGCCGUGCCGUGCCGGCCCGCGUGCCCAGGCUCCAGGCCCAGGCACGGCCCAAGGCGUGCCGCGUGCCGGGCACGGCCCGUUUAGCCCGUGCCGUGCCUGGCCCAUAGCGGGCCGUGCCGGCGUGCUCACGGGCUGGCCUGUUUGGCCCGGCCCGUUUGGCCAGCUAUAGUUGGCCAAUCCGGCUGCGCGUUCCUACCCAUCGGUCUGCGAGGAUCAGCCAAUCCCACGUCGCCCACGCUCGGUACGGCCAAUAUUUUUUUCACCCGACGCGCAGACGAGGCACACAUAGCACACACACCACCAAACCGGACCCGCGAGAGAUGGAGGCUCACCCGUCAUUCACCUGAGUAGGAAAGAGCAACAUUGAAAGAAACAUAUGAUUGGAUUUUUGACAGUGCGAUGAAAAACAUCGAGCGAGGUAGAUCGAGCGAACCAGAAUAGCUAGCGCUGGCAUGUGCCGUGGUUAGGGCAUCUCCAACAGUUUGUAUGUUAUUUGUUGGUAAAAUAUGCCAUGUCAUCAACCAAAACCUUAAGAUACAACAACUACAAUGGUUGUAUCUUGUUUGCCCAAUAAGAUGUGAGAUAAUAAAUAAGGUGCUCUCUCAUUCUACAUUGGAGCUUGUGCAAGGGGUGUUGGUUCAUGUACAUACAACCUUCCUCUCUUCCCUCAUUUAUUGUAUGACACAUCAUCAAAAAUCCUAUAUGGCAAAGUCUAUCAACAACUAUCUUACAACCAUUAGAGAUGCCCUUAGGCGGGUAGCCUAGCCAAGUUUAUAUGUUCGAUUACAAAGUCAGGAAUGCAUCCUGAUAUUUGCUCCCUUUAACCUCGUCUAACCAUGUAACCUUACACAAAAAUGCACAGUAAUUUUACAAUAGUAAUUUCUCUUUUUCUAGUGUAGUUCAUAACUUUACUGCAUACAAAACAACCGACGUAUAUAAGCACAAGACCAAUUCCGAGGGACAUAAACUUAUUUCACAAGCAUUUUAUUCUUACGGUGGAUGGAGGCUGGUUUAACCCACUGUGUGAGUUGGCUGGGUGAUAAAUAAGGCUUUGGAUUUAGAUUAAAAUGUUCAGAAUGGUACAAAACAUCCAAAAAGUAAGGAAAUUACAACUAUGUUCUCAGGGAGCCAAACAAAAGUCAAUCUCCAGAAUGAGCCAAAGGCGUGCCGCCAUUGCCUCUUCAUUGUCAAAGCUAUCCUAACCAUGUAUCCCGUGGUCAGGAAGUCGUCAUGCUUAGAUCAUCUGCAAGUCAAAGCAAUAUGUCGGAGUUUGGCCCCUUAAUAAAAUAUGUCAAGGUCCGGAGAGUAUGUUCCUUUUUGCGAAUUAACUUAUGUAUUACUCAAAUUUUGGGGAUUACUAUCUUGUCCAUUUGUAACUGAAGGAACACUUUCGAGCAACAAGAAAAAUUGCACAUGGAAGAAUUUGGCAGACAUGCUCGUUCGUGUUGAUAAACACCAAAAAAAUCUAACUACGCCGUCUAACUUAUAUUUGGUAUUGUCUCUUGAAAAAUAUAUUUCUUGUUUAGGUACUCCUUCUGAUUCAUAUUUGAUAUUUAGCAUCUCUUAUACGACCCGUGUAAUGUGUUACUUAUAGGAGCAAGUAAUUUGAUCUAGUUACUAUGUCGAAUUUAUCGAAUCAUGCUCGGUUAUAUAUGGCUACGAGAAUAUGAUGGUGUUUUAGUUCUGUACUGCAUACACAAAUUCUGGGAUUAUAUACUCAAAUUGUGAUAUAUUAGUAAUUGAUAUAUUUUAUCUCAACUUAUGGUAAUGUAUAUAUCUAUACAGAAAAUUCAUCCUUUUCAUCAUCUUCUUACGAGUUUUUGAUACAUGGAAUUCAUAUUAUAGUCGCCCCAAAUGAUUUUCAAUGUAUUAGUUUAGUGAUGCGUAAUAUAUGAACAAAUAACAUACAGUCUUUAUCACCUUAGUCUAAUGUUUUUUCGGGCACACAUCAGUUCAACAAGGCUUGUUUUUCAACUUAAUAACAUUAUAAAUGAAAUGAAAAUAGAAAAUAUGUUAAAAAAAUGAGCAUUUAGUAAAGUUUGUUGAAAUAAAACAAAACUAUAUAUUUACAAGUCGAUGUAUUUGUUUCUCAAACUAGUGUAGUUUCCUAAUUUUGGUGGCAAGUAUUGCAAAGUUGUUCUUUCGAUGUGGAUAUAGUGAAUAAUAUAUAUAUAUAUAUAUAAUUGGAAACCUCUGUUAUUGGUGGUUGGUGGAUAUUUAUUUAAUUCUAUUUAUCAAGUGAGAUAUUUUUUAAGAGAUGAUGAUGUGCUCCAGAUUUUUAUGGCCAGGAGACAUGCAAAUUUAAGAAAUGUUGAGUUUAAUGAUACAUACGAACUAUUCUGUAAGAUGAAAAUGCAGUUGAGUUAGUAUAACUGCCAAAACAUAUCUUUCUCUAAACUAUAUAAAGACUAUUGAAUUGUACAUUAAAAAAUUGAAAUGUGGCCACACGCAAAAUGAAAUUCUUGAUCCACCAUUGUUCAAAAUUUGGCUAUUGCAUAGGUGCAUUGGGUAGUACAUUGUAAGGUUGGUCAUCUAGGGUAGAGGUGGAUAUGCUGGAUGACCAAAUAAUUUUGGUUGCUGCUAUAGCAGCUGGGUCCAAAGGUGGAGGAUCUGUGAUGACUUUUGGGCCAGCAUUAAUGGUUAUGACAUAGAAUUAUUCGAGUUCCCCGUAGGAAACAAAGCCAAAACCAGAUCUUGCUAACAUCAUUCCAUGUGAAUUCAAGAACAAAUUAAAGGCAUCCCCUUUUUGGGGCUCUCCAUACCCUAUCAGCAUUACCAAGUGACCCAUUUGUAUAGUAAUAUUUUUCAUCUUCAUCAUGCUUCACUGGGCACCUAUAGAUUUCAUCUUUGUUGAUGUCACAAAAUUGAACUAUUGUCACCAGAGUUGCUAGCACAAGCCAACAUCUAAAAACUCCUUAAUUUGUGCAACUGGAAGCUUCUUUUAAUGGUUGUAAUCUCUAUACAUGUUUAAAUCCAUCUUUCCUUCCACCAAGAUCUCCUUUUCUCUUUGAUAUGUGUCUUCUGUGUGUGGGUUCCAUGGAGUUUAACACACUCCACAUUGGUGCAGGAACCCCUUAUAGGAUUUUGCUACUAGCAACGUCUGGCUCAAGGCACAUGCAACAAGUGUUUUGCCAAAAUACUAGCAUCGUUUAGGAGAAAUGUAUGCACCGCUAGCGAAUAUCUACUAGCAUCGCAUACAAUAGGUAGACGCUGCCAUAAAGGUGAACAUGACACUCCCACUAGUCUGAAACUACUAGCUGAGUUUGAACGUUCAGAACGUAACUACUACCUCCGUCCCAUAAUAUAAGAAUGUUUUUGAUACUAGUGUAGUGUCAAAAACGUUUUUAUAUUAUGGGACGGAGGGAGUAGUUCAGAAGCUAGGAGUAUGCAAUGAUGUAUAAUGCGCAACUAAUGUAGAGUGUGGACCCCAUGAUCUAGCCUGGACGCGGCUAAAGAUGCACAUAGUGGUCACGCAUCUUUUGUAACCGCGCUUCAUUAGUGCUAGCAUGUAUAUAUUGCUCGUUUAAAAUACAUGUACACUAAAAAAGUUGAAACAGAAAACCAUGCUUGAAAUCCUUAUAAAAUGUGCGCAACUUCAAACAAAUAAUAAUUAAUUGGCGUAUAGCACAUGUCUAUACCCCUAUAUAGUGUGCGAAUAAUUUUGAAAGAUGGUCGUUGGAUGAAGCCAAUCCGACGGUGCAGAGAUGGCAAAUCCGAGCACUACUGGCCGUUGAAUAUCAUCUACAUUCCACCAAAUUUUGCCACAUGUACAAUCUAGAAGACUCCAUGGUUGAACUUAAGCAUAGUGCACAAACCUCAAAACACAAGCACUUCUCCUUUGUUCUAGAAUCUUCCAUAUCAUAAUUGCCCAAAACAAUUUCUACAUGAAUUGCCAUUAUUUGUUUUUACUUUAUGCUUUACAACGCACAAUUCCAUGAAUCUUAAAAUAGAUUAGCUUUUUUUAUAAAAACUAAUUGAUUUUGAAUGAGAUGAACCAUAAGAAUUAAACAAACAUCUACAUCAUGCAUAUAUGACUCAAAGUUUACAUGCUAUAAUGUGGUAUUUAUUCAUAAUUUGGUUGCCAAAUCUCAUGCGUGCAAUGCACGUGUACCUUACUAGUAUACAAAGUUUUGUAGUCACAUGGCUAAUGAUGAGCUUGCUAUACCAUAUUUCUCUCAAACCAGAUCGCACUUCUGCCCUUCGAAACUUCAAAUCUACCAUUGAUACCCCGCGCGGAUUUCUAAGGAACGUAUUUGAAAACUUUUGUGUAACACAUUGAAAUUAUAAACAUAGCUUCAAGUGUAAAUAUAAUGACAAUACCAACAUUCAUUUAUUUUUAGACCACAUUACAUUAUCUAAAAAAUACAAAAAAUGCCCUAGUGUUUGAUUUAUCCCAUAAUUUUUUAGGAAUUUUUCAAAAUUUUAAUAAAGAACACCUAAAUAUACAGUAAAAAAUAGUUUAAUAAAUUGGAACACAAAACACCCUGUCGGGGAUAUACCCCGCGGUAUGACCCGGCCGGAGAUAUGACCCGGCUGGGACUUGAUGUUUCAUUGAUGACCCGGCAGAUUAUAACCCGGCAGACACAGUCAUAUAACCCGGCAGACACAGUCAUCUAACCCAGCAGACACAGUCAUAUAACCCGACAGACACAGUCAUCUAACCCGGCAGACACAGUCAUGUAACCCGGCAGAUGUUAAGCCAGAUGGUAAGCCAGAUGGUAAGUCAGAUCGUAAGCCAGACCGUAAGCCAGAUGGUAAGCCAGAUAGUAAGUCAGAUCGUAAGCCACACCGUAAGUCAGAUUGUAAGCCAGAUUGUAAGAAGCCCAAGACGUUAAGAAGCCCAUGGUAAGACGUCAAAAUAGGUUAAGUCUUAAGUCCGAGUUGGACUCUACAUGUAACCCGCCCCUUCAGCUUAUAUAAGGAGGGGCGGGGCACCCCAAGAGGAGAGGUUGAAUAAGGGCUAGGUUAGACAUAACUAGGAGAGCCGGCUUACGACAACUCCUCUCAUGAGCAUAAUGAGACCUAGCCACAAACAGCAUGUAGGGUUCUUACCGGAUGAUGUUUCCUGGGGCCCGAAGCUGUCUAAACUCUUGUCUUGUGUUGCGUCUCUCGAUUCCGCUCAACCCCUCUCAAGUUACCACAAAGAUGCGUUGGCCUCACGAUUAAGUCCUCACACUAGGACAUCUGCGCACGGUGGUAUUGAGUUCUUGGAGGGAUCUCUCCGAGGGAUCAAGAAGCUCGCAAAUUUUCUGGAGGAAGAUUAUCCGGCUUGAACGGAUCUACAUCAGCUUGAAGAUCACCAGUCUAAGUUUACAAUCUGUGAUAUCUAAAAGUGUAUUAGGGUUACACGGCGGAUUGCAAAUCGAGCCGCCAUGGGUGACUUAAGUUUCUUCUUUUACAAAGUUGCCAUGGCAAGAAAAAUCCUGAAGCACUGUAUGAGAUUCCAACUUGAGCCGGACUCGGACUCGCUGGUCGCGCCUCCGCCUUCGAGCCGCUACGGUUACACCCCGCUUCAACUAUGGCCAAGUCGCCGCCUUCGCCUCCAGCUCCGAGCUAUUGCUCAACCAUCGCGUCUCGCGGACCUGCCAGCCAGCGAGUCGCCUUCGUCAUUGCAUGUAAGAACCAAGCCGUUGCUGAAUUGACUCCUCUGCAUCGUCUUCUGAUACGUCUCCGUCAUAUCUACUUUUCCAAAUACUUUUGGCCUUGUUUUGGACUCUAACUAGUAUGAUUUGAAUGGAACUAACCCGGACUGACGCUGUUUUCAGCAGAAUUGCCAUGGUGUUGUUUUUUGUGCAGAAAAUAAAAGUUCUCGGAAUGACCUGAAACUCCACGGAACACGUUAGAAAAAACAAUAAAAAAUCCUCGCAAAAGAUGAAGACCAGAAGGCCCACACCCUGUCCACGAGGGUGGGGGGCGCGCCCCCUACCUCGUGGGCCCCCUGGUGGCCCUCCGAUGCCAACUCCAACUCCAUAUUUUGGCUUUCGGGGAGAAAAAAAUCAGAGAGAAGAAAUCAUCGCGUUUUACGAUACGGAGCCGCCGCCAAGCCCUAAUCUCUCUCGGGAGGGCUGAUCUGGAGUCAGUUCGGGGCUCCGGAGAGGGGCAUUCGUCGCCGUCGUCAUCAUCAACCAUCCUCCAUCACCAAUUUCAUGAUGCUCACCGCCGUGCGUGAGUAAUUGCAUCAUAGGCUUGCUGGACGGUGAUGGGUUGAAUGAGAUUUAUCAUGUAAUCGAGUUAGUUUUGUUAGGGUUUGAUCCCUAGUAUCCAUUAUGUUCUGAGAUUGAUGUUGCUAUGACUUUGCUAUGCUUAAUGCUUGUCACUAGGGCCCGAGUGCCAUGAUUUCAGAUCUGAACCUAUUAUGUUUUCAUGAAUAUAUGUGUGUUCUUGAUCCUAUCUUGCAAGUCUAUAGUCACCUACUAUGUGUUAUGAUCCGGGAACCCCGAAGUGACAAUAAUCGGGACCACUCCCGGUGAUGACCAUAGUUUGAGGAGUUCAUGUAUUCACUAUGUGCUAAUGCUUUGUUCCGGUUCUCUAUUAAAAGGAGGCCUUAAUAUCCCUUAGUUUCCAAUAGGACCCCGCUGCCACGGGAGGGUGGGAGGGUAGGACAAAAGAUGUCAUGCAAGUUCUUUUCCAUAAGCACGUAUGACUAUAUACGGAAUGCAUGCCUACAUAACAUUGAUGAACUGGAGCUAGUUCUGCGUCACCCUAUGUUAUGACUGUUACAUGACAAACCGCGUCCGACAUAAUUAUCCAUCGCUAAUCCAGUGCCUACGAGUUUUCCAUAUACUGGUUCUCGCUUAUUUACUUUUCUAUUGCUACUGUUACAAUCACUACAAAAUACCAAAAACAUUACUUUUGCUGUCUUUACUUUUGUUACCGUUACCACUACUAUCAUAUUACUUUGCUACUAAAACUUUGCUACAGAUACUAAGUUUCCAGGUGUGGUUGAAUUGACAACUCAGCUGCUAAUACUUGAGAAUAUUCUUUGGCUCCCCUUGUGUUGAAUCAAUAAAUUUGGGUUGAAUACUCUACCCUCGAAAACCGUUGCAAUCCCCUAUACUUGUGGGUUAUCAAGACCUUUUUCUGGCACCGUUGCCGGGGAGCAUAACUCUAUUCUUUGAGUCACUUGGGAUUUAUAUCUGUUGGACACUAUGAAGAACUUGAAAGAUGAUCGAACUACUAUUUUGCCCUCAACUACGAGGGGAGGUAAGGGACUGUCAUCUAGCCUUGCACUAGAUUCUCCUUCUGUUAUGAGUAAGUUUGCGACACCUAAACCUGUUACUGCUGUGAAUUUUGAUAUGUCGCAUGUUAUUGAUGAUGCCACUUCUGCUAUGCAUGAUACUUAUGAUGAAACUACUUCUAUGCUUGAUACUACUGUGCCCCUUGGUGAAUUUCUUGAUGAGCAAAUUGCUAGGUCUAGAGAAAGAGAAAUUAUUGAACCUGAACACGAUGAUGUUAGUGAUGAUGAAAAUAUGCCUGCUAUUCCUGAGGGUUAUCUUUUUUAUGCUGAAUCUUCUACAACUAUUCUUGCUUGCCAGGAUAGACAUGAACUUAAGAGGUUGCUAGUUAAAUGGAGUAAAGAAUCUUUUAGAGAUAGAAUGAAACCCGACCCUGCUUUUGCUACUUCACCUAUCUGUGUUCUCGAUAAUGAUUAUUAUGAUUUUUGUGUUGAUCCAGAUAUAAUUACUUUGGUUGAAUCUGAUCCUUUUUAUGGCUAUGAAUCUGAAACUGUCGUGGCACAUCUUACUAAGUUAAAUGAUAUAGCUGCCCUGUUUACUAAUAAUGAGAGAUUGCGCUACCUUUAUUUACUCAAAAUAUUCCCGUUCUCAUUAAAGGGUGAUGCUAAGAUAUGGUUUAAUUCUCUUGAUCCUGGUUGUGUGCAAAGUCCCCAGGAUAUGGUUUAUUACUUCUUUGCUAAAUAUUUCCCUGCUCAUAAGAAACAAGCUGCUUUGAGGGAAAUAUACAACUUUGUGCAAACUGAAGAAGAGAGUCUCCCACAAGCUACUUAAUGCUUUGCCUGAUCAUCCUCUUAAGAAACCUGAAAUAUUUGAUAUCUUUGAUGAUGGACUAACUGAUGCUUCCAGAGAUUACCUGGAUAGUUGUGCUGGUUCUCUUUUCAGGGAAAGAACACUGGAUGGCGCUGAAAUUCUAUUGAAUAAUAUGUUGGCAAAUGAAAAUAAUUGGGCACCUCCCGAGCUACCUCCUGAGCCAGUUCCUGAGCCAAUUACUGAGCCUAUUCCUAAACCAACUCCGAAGAAGAGAGGUGUUCUAUUUCUCAAUCCCGAAGAUAUGCAAGAGGCAAAGAAAUCUAUGAAAGAAAAAGGUAUUAAAGCUGAAGAUGUUAAGAAUUUACCUCCUAUUGAAGAAAUAUAUGGUCUUAAUUUACCGCCUGUUGAAGAAGUAUAUGAUCUCAAUUACUUAUUUACUGAAGAACCUCCCGAUAUCCCGACACAGGUAGUAAAGGUAAAUUCUCUCUAUAGAUAUGAUAAAGCUGAAGUCCCUCCUACUAAAAUUGCUAGUCAGUGCUUGGAUGAGUUUGAUGACUUUAUGUUUAAGCAAGAUGACUUUAAUGCUUAUUUUGGUAGACAAUUAAAACAAAAUACCUUUAUGAUUAAAUGCUUGGGUGAUUAUAUGGCUGAUAUUAGAGGUGAACUUAAACUUGUUAGCAAACAUGCUUCUAUGGUUACCACUCAUGUAGAACAAGUACUUAAAGCUCAGAAAGAAGUGUUUGAUGAAAUGAAUAGUAAGAAAAAUGAUUAUGCUGUUAGAGUGGCUACUAGAACUGGUAGAAUGACUCAGGAACCUUUGUAUCCUGAAGGCCACCCUAAGAGAAUCGAGCAAGAUUCUCAGAGAAACAAUAUUGAUGUACCUAGUUCUUCUAAGAGGAAGAAAAAGAAAAAUGAUAGGACUUUGCAAACUUCUAGUGAACCUAUUGCUGAACCACCUGAGAAUCCAAAUGAUAUCUCUAUUUUUGAUGCUGAAACACAAUCAGGUGAUGAACAUGAACCUAGUGAUAAUUUUAAUGAUAAUGUUCAUGUUGAUGCUCAACAUAGUAAUGAUAAUGAUGUAGAAGUUGAAGCUGCUGUUGAUCUUGAUAACCCACAAUCAAAGAAUCAACGUUAUGAUAAAAGAGACUUCGUUGCUAGGAAACAUGGUAAAGAAAGGGAACCAUGGGUUCAGAAACCCAUGCCUUUUCCUCCGAAACCAUCCAAGAAAAAGGAUGGUGAGGAUUUUGAGCGAUUUGCUGAAAUGAUUAGACCCAUCUUUUUGCGUAUGCGAUUAACUGAUGUGCUCAAAACAAAUCCUUAUGCUAAGUAUAUGAAGGAUAUCAUUACUAAUAAAAGAAAGAUACCUGAAGCUGAAAUUUCCACCAUGCUUGCUAAUUAUACCUUAAAAGGCGGAAUACCAAAGAAACUUGGAGAUCCAGGAGUACCUACUAUACCAUGCUCCAUUAAGAGGAAUUAUGUUCAAACUGCUUUAUGUGAUCUUGGAGCCGACGUCAGUGUUAUGCCUCUGUCUUUAUAUCGUAGACUUGACUUAAAUAAGUUGACACCUACUGAAAUAUCUUUGCAAAUGGCUGAUAAAUCAACUGCUAUACCUGUCGGUAUUUGUGAGGAUGUGCCUGUUGUGGUUGCAAACGUUACUAUUUUAACGGACUUUGUUGUUCUUGAUAUUCCCGAGGAUGAUAGUAUGUCUAUUAUUCUUGGAAGAUCUUUCCUUAAUACUGCAGGGGCCGUUAUUGAUUGCACCAAAGGCAAUGUCACUUUUCAUGUUAAUGGCAAUGAGCACACGGUACAUUUUCCGAGGAAACAAACUCAAGUUUAUAGUAUCAACUCUAUUGGAAAAAUUCCAUCGAUUAUAUUUGGAGGUUUUGAAUUCCCUCUCCCUAAUGUCAAGAAAAAGUAUGAUAUUCUUAUUGUUGGGGAUUUUCAUAUCCCCGUUGAGGUAACUUAGUGUCAUUCAAAAUUUCCCCGGUUCCGUGAUUAUUCGGAAUGAGUUUGUUAACAAGACUUGAUCAACCUUGUUAGCGGGUUCAUUUUGAUGAUCACGAGAUGUAUGAAACUAGAAGCACAACCUUCUGUACCCUCUUUAUAUUUUCUGUUAUUUAGUAGAAAUAAAGUAAAAUAGUAUUUUUCUGUCUGUCUCCUGACUUAUCCAUGCAAUAUAAAAAUAUCCCGAAAAUAAAAGUCCUCAGAAUGCAGUGCCAAUUUAAUAUGAUUUUUUCGGGAAUAUUUGAGGAUUUACUGUGCAAAAAUUACCACGGGGGGAGCUGCCACCUGGUCACAAGGGUGGAGGGCGCGCCCUACCCCCCUGGGCGCGCCCCCCUGCCUCGUGGGCCCAUGAUGACCCUCCUCCACUUAUUCCUGCACCCAUCUUCUUCCUUUGCCUCACACAAACACGAAAAACCAACUCAAGCACGAGUUCCAGCCCCCGUUGCUGUGAUUUUCGAUCUCCUUGCUCAAAGCACCUCUUGCAAAACUACUUGGGCAGAUUGUUCCUUGGUAUGUGACUCCUCCAUUGGUCCAAUUAGUUUUUGUUCUAGUGCUUUAUUCAUUGCAAAUUUGUGCUGCAUAGGUGACCAUAUUCUUGAGCUUGCAUGUUAAAUUUAUAUGGUUCCAAGUAGUUCCAAUGCUUUAUAUAGGCUCUAGGCACUUGUGGGAGUUGUUGCUAUCAAUUUUAUUGAAGUUGGUUCACUUUUAUUUGAAGUUACUAAAAAUUUCAGACUGUUUCAGAAAAUAAUGAAGAAAUUUUUGAGGGGCUUGUUGAGCCGAAGCUCUAAGGAAAAAUAAAAGGAAGAAGAGCAGAAGCCCAAAUUUAAUUUGCCUCGCACCACGGAGGUCCGGCCGUGUGAAUGGCCUUCCGAUGACUUCUUGAGGAGAGCUGGGAUUUAUGAAGAUUUCUAUCUAUUGAUUGAGAAUGCUGGCCUCACCAACUUCCUCCACGACCAACGUCGUCAGUAUCUCUUACUCACAAAUACUUUUGUGCAAAACUUCUACUUUUUCCCUAAGAAAUCACCUCCAACAGUAGAGUUUCAUUUAUAUGACGUUGUUAAAGAGAUGACAUUAGCUGAAUUCUGCGAGGUUUGCAGAAUACCCUUUGAGGGAAACUUAGACUAACCCCACCGUAAUGAAGUAGAAGCUUUUAUUAACACUAUCACUGUGGGAGAAACCAGGAAGGUUUCUGAUGCAAGGAUCACUAGCAUACAUUUUCCUGUUUUACGCUACUUUGCCUUAUUUGCUAGUCGUUGCUUGAUUGGACGCGGGAACUGUGGGAACCUUAGUAUUCCUGAUAUUAUUAUUUUGCUCCAUGGUUUAUACCGCAAUAACUCUGUUAGUCUGGGUGGAAUUGUUGCUAGACGGUUAAGUCUGAACCGUACUAAGGUCCCAUCUUUGGAGGCAUUUAUGCUUCACGCCUAGAUGAACAUUUUGAAAUACCUAUUAGGCAUGAGGAGGAAAAAGAAACAGCGCUGCCCCGUGUUUAUUUAGAUUAUAAGAGUAUGAUAGCGCAUGAUUUUCUUGUUAAGAGUCGCGAUGGGGAGCUCAAAUAUAAAUUAUACUUUGAUAAACAUCACCCUGAGACUAUUACUUUGCCUGCUCCUUCUUUGUUUAACUUGUCUUUAGAACCUCACAUCGUUCCGUGGUCGGCUGUUCAAGCCUAUCGGAAUCCUGCACCAGCCCCGGAGCCGGAGCCACAAGAUGAGCCUCCACGACUAUCUGUUUAUUCUUGGGAUCCAGAGGAGGCUGCCAGCCAGUGGCAUCCGGAGUCUUCUUCAUCACAGUAUGACCCCAGCUUCACCUACGGGUAUCCGCCAGGCUAUCCCUGGCAAUAGACCAACUUAGGCCAAAAGCCUAAGCUUGGGGGAGUACGUAUUUCCCACCGACAUUACAUUCAUGUUCACACACACACUCAUUGCUAUCUGUCGGUGCUCAUACUAUUUCACUGUAAUAUCCAUGCUAGUUUACUUUCUUUUUCCUUCUUUCUUCUUGUGUGUUUGUUAAACUUUAAGAAAAAACAAAAAAAUAGUAGUAGUUUACUUCUUUGCUUGUAGUAGAAAUUAAAAAGAAAAAACCCAAAAAUAUUUCCCGUUCUUCUUUUACUUGUUGGAAGCUUUCCCGUGUAAAUGGUUUUUAUUUUAUUUUCUUUUUUUGGGGGUUGAGAAGACCAUAUUGAAAAUGCUUAGUGGCUCUUAUAUGCAUGAUUGAUUAUUUAAAUUUAGAGCCCAUAUUACUUGUCUUCUCUCUUGAGUUGAAUGCUUGCAGAUUCCAGCUUAGUCCAAUGCACGUGCACUCUUAUUAUUAUACACACCGUUCAGUCGUGCAAGUGAAAGGCAAUAAUGAUGAUAUAUGAUGGACUUAUUGGGAUGAGAAAAACUGGUAUGAACUCGACCUCUCUUGUUUUUGUAAAUAUGAUGAAUCAUCGUUCCUGAGUCAGCUAUUAUGAAGUAAACAUAUUUGCAAUGACAUUUAGGGAUUAUAGUUGCUUGUGCCAUGCUUGAUUAGCUAUGAGCUAUAAUGGUUUACCUUGCGUGCCAAUAUGCUAUUAGAAUGAUUAUGAUGUGGUAUGAUGGUAUGGUAUCCUCCUUUAAAUGAAUUGAGUGACUCGACUUGGCACAUGUUCACGCAUGUAGUUGAAUCAAAUCAACAUAGCCUUCAUGAUAUUUAUGUUCAUGGUGGAUUAUAUCCUACUCAUGCUUGUAUUUGGUGUAAAUUAAUUUUAAUGCAUGUUUACGACUGUUGUCGCUCUCUCAGUUGGUCGCUUCCCAGUCUUUUGCUAGCCUUCACCUGUACUAAGCGGGAAUACUGCUUGUGCAUCCAAACUCCUUAAACCCCAAAGUUAUUCCAUAUGAGUCCACUAUACCUACCUAUAUGCGGUAUUUACCUGCCGUUCCAAGUAAAUUUUUAUGUGCCAAACUCUAAACCUUCAAAUAAACAUUCUGUUUUGCAUGCUCGAAUAGCUCAUAUGUCAACUAGAGCUGCCCUUAUCUUCCGUGUUAGGCGGGUUAUUCUCAAGAGGAGUGGACUCCGCUCCUCAUUCACGAGAAAAUGGCUGGUAUCCGGGAUGCCCAGUCCCAUGCUUUAUGCAAACUAAAUCAAAAUAACUGCAAACAAAACUCCCCUUGGGACCCAUUGAAUGUUGGAGGCACUCGUUGUUUCGAGCAAGCCAUGGAUUGAUGCUUGUGGAGGAAGGGGAGUAUAAACUUUACCAUUCUGUUUGGGAACCGCCUAUAAUCUGUUUAGCAUGGAAGAUAUCGUCGUCUUUUAGUUGUUAUGUUGACAAUGAAAGUAUGCCGCUCAAAAUAUAAUUUAUCUCUAUUUCAAAACUGAGCUCUAGCACCUCUACAAAUCCCUGCUUCCCUCUGCGAAGGGCCUAUCAAUUUACUUUUAUGUUGAGUCAUCACCCUUCUUAUUAAAAGCAUCUGCUGGAGAGCACACUGUCGUUUGCAUUCAUUAUUAUUGGUUUAUAUUGGGUAUGACUUGACUGGAUCUCUUUUACCAUGAAUUACAAUGUUUAGUCAGUCCUUGAUCUUUAAAGGUGCUCUGCAUUUAUGUUUUGCGGUCUCAGAAAGGGCUAGAGAGAUACCAUUUUGUUAUAUCAUGUUAUGAUUAUUUUGAGAAAGUGUUGUCAUCCGAGUUUUAUUAUUAUGGCUCGCUAGCUAAUUAUGCUAUUGAUAUGAGUAACUGUGAGACCUACGUGUUAUUGUGAGUAUGGUUAGUUCACAAUAUUUGCUGAAACUUGAAUGCUGGCUUUUCAUGUUUACAACAACAAGAGCAAAAAGAGUUUGUAAAAUUUUUUCUUUUUCUCUUUCAGUUUGUCAACUGAAUUGCUUGAGGACAAGCAAGGGUUUAAGCUUGGGGGAGUUGAUACGUCUCCGUCGUAUCUACUUUUCCAAACACUUUUGCCCUUGUUUUGGACUCUAACUUGUAUGAUUUGAAUGGAACUAACCCGGACUGACGCUGUUUUCAGCAAAAUUGCCAUGGUGUUGUUUUUUGUGCAGAAAAUAAAAGUUCUCGGAAUGACCUGAAACUCCACGGAACACGUUAGAAAAAACAAUAAAAAAUCCUCGCAAAAGAUGAAGACCAGAAGGCCCACACCCUGUCCACGAGGGUGGGGGGCGCGCCCCCUACCUCGUGGGCCCCCUGGUGGCCCUCCGAUGCCAACUCCAACUCCAUAUUUUGGCUUUCGGGGAGAAAAAAAUCAGAGAGAAGAAAUCAUCGCGUUUUACGAUAUGGAGCCGCCGCCAAGCCCUAAUCUCUCUCGGGAGGGCUGAUCUGGAGUCAGUUCGGGGCUCCGGAGAGGGGCAUUCGUCGCUGUCGUCAUCAUCAACCAUCCUCCAUCACCAAUUUCAUGAUGCUCACCGCCGUGCGUGAGUAAUUGCAUUGUAGGCUUGCUGGACGGUGAUGGGUUGGAUGAGAUUUAUCAUGUAAUCGAGUUAGUUUUGUUAGGGUUUGAUCCCUAGUAUCCAUUAUGUUCUGAGAUUGAUGUUGCUAUGACUUUGCUAUGCUUAAUGCUUGUCACUAGGGCCCGAGUGCCAUGAUUUCAGAUCUGAACCUAUUAUGUUUUCAUGAAUAUAUGUGUGUUCUUGAUCCUAUCUUGCAAGUCUAUAGUCACCUACUAUGUGUUAUGAUCCGGGAACCCCGAAGUGACAAUAAUCGGGACCACUCCCGGUGAUGACCAUAGUUUGAGGAGUUCAUGUAUUCACUAUGUGCUAAUGCUUUGUUCCGGUUCUCUAUUAAAAGGAGGCCUUAAUAUCCCUUAGUUUCCAAUAGGACCCCGCUGCCACGGGAUGGUGGGAGGGUAGGACAAAAGAUGUCAUGCAAGUUCUUUUCCAUAAGCACAGAUGACUAUAUACGGAAUACAUGCCUACAUAACAUUGAUGAACUAGAGCUAGUUCUAUGUCACCCUAUGUUAUGACUGUUACAUGACGAACCGUAUCCGGCAUAAUUAUCCAUCGCUAAUCCGGUGCCUACGAGUUUUCCAUAUACUGGUUCUCGCUUAUUUAAUUUUCCGUUGCUACUGUUACAAUCACUACAAAAUACCAAAAACAUUACUUUUGCUAUCUUUACUUUUGUUACCGUUACCACUACUAUCAUAUUGCUUUGCUACUAAACACUUUGCUAUAGAUACUAAGUUUCCAGGUAUGGUUGAAUUGACAACUCAACUGUUAAUAGUUGAGAAUUUUCUUUGGCUCCCCUUGUUUUGAAUCAAUAAAUUUGGGUUGAAUACUCUACCCUCGAAAACUGUUGCGAUCCCCUAUACUUGUGGGUUAUCAUCUUCCCUGGGUCACGCCGUGAAAUAAAGCCACCCCUGUUCCUAAGCCGCCGACACCAUGAGUCGCCAUCUCCGAUGCCGCUACAAUGCACUUCCUCGAGUCGUCCUUGUACGGCCGUACCUAGUCCACGAUUCAGAGAUGAACUCAGUUUUCGCCGGACCCUGGUUCGUCAACCGCCGUCUCCGCGUCGCUCGCAUCCGAGCUGCCACAUCGCCGGUCGUUUCUGCUUCCACGGCCCUCGUCCCCUGAAAGUUGCGUCGAGCCGUUUUCGUGGCCCUCGUCUCCAUCGACGGGCCGCCCUGCUGUCUCGUGCCGUCCUCGGGCUACUGCGGCGCCGCCGGUGAGCCACUGCCCGAGAGCAGCUGUUGAGCCGCCUCUCUGCCUUACUCCGCUGCUGCUGACCCAGAGUCGCCUCGGCUGCGGCUCGCCCCCACUGGCCUCGAUCUUGAGCUACUACGGUUGAGUUGCCCUGGCUCGUCCUCUCCAUCAAACUGCCGUGGCCGCCUCGCUGGCGAUUCGCCCCUCCGGUUUUCAAGUCGCCUCCUACUGCUGUUCUGCUGCGGUACUUCUUGAGCCAUUGUCGCUGGUGCGCCAAGCCGCCACAACCAACCGCCAGCUUCGCCUCCAUCAGAACUUCAAGUCGCCUCGACUCCGAGUCGCCUGAGCUGUCGUUGCCGCCUUGCGGGUGGUCUUCUGCCGCGGUCGCGGCCUUGCAUCGCCGGGCCCCCGUCCGAGUCACCUAUUGCCCUGUCUCUGCUGCCACAUAUGCCACUUCUGGCAAGACGUCGCAUCGUCCGUCAAAGUCGCGGACGCCUCACCGCGCUCUCUUACGUGGCCUUUCAAGCUGCCACGGCCCCUGUUGAGCUGCCGGUCUUCACCGCCAGGGAAGUGCCUAUGAGCCGCCACCUCCUUCACCGUGACCCGUCGCGUCGCUCUUCUGCCGUGGCUCGCUUUGCUCUGGCCAGCGCCGGCUUGCUGCUGCCGUUGGCCACCUGCGCUGACCGCCUGCUGGCUUCGUUACGCCUGCCACCCAUCUCACUCUGUUGCAACUACAGCAGCGCCGAGCCGGGCUAUCUCACUGCCGUGUGGCCAAGCUGCCGUUGCCGGGUUUACCGUCCUCGUGCAUCACUUCUGUUCCAACCCGCGUGGGGGUUGGCCGCCCGCCUGUUCAAUCUCUUCGCGGACGCACCCUUUCUGCUUUGAGCCUAUAGCUCCCGCACAUGCCGGGUCAACGCUACACCGACCCUUCGUUUCGAGCUGCCGGGGCGCGUGGCCGCCGGGUAACCACGCCCGCUCCCCCUGCAAGACCAGUGCUGGCUCCUUGCACUGCCCACAUUCCGCUGCGGCCGGCUCUCUGAGUCUCCAACCCGCCCUCACCACGAGCAGCCUCCGCUACGGCGGGUCAACAUCGAGCCGCUGCCGAAGCCUCGCCGACCUCUGUUGUGGUCGGCCGGUCUACCUCCUCCGCGUCCUCGCUUCGAGCUCUUUUUGUCUCAAAUCACCGUCGCUACCGCCUCCAGGCGGUUGCGACCAUGGCUAUGGCCUUGCCUCAAGUCGUCGUCUUCAACUGCCAAGCCGUCUCUGCUGCUGUGACUAGCGGUGGCCGUGGUUCGCCUCCAGGCCCAGCGCUGUACACCCUUGCCUCGGUACUCGUUCGCGCGCCCAUGCUGUUUCCGUGGUCGCACCCACCUACCGGUUCACCGCUGCAAGCCGCCGCUAUAAGCCGCUGUGAUGCUGCCGCGUGCUAUCACGUCUGCCAUAGCCUCGCCGUUGCGGCCUCGCUCUGCCGCUGUCGCUCGUCCCGCCUCUGCUAGGCUUUGCUGCUUCUGCCGCGAGCCGGCCAGCACACCAAGUUGCCGCUUCAAGCUGCCUGAGCCGUUAUACCUUUUCUAGCCAGGCCUGACCCACCGUGCCUGAGCUCGCCUGAGCUGCCGCGAGCAUCCGCGUCCACCUCGCAUCCGCUCCACUCCGACCACUCGGAUACGCAGCUGCCCCAGGUUGUCUCGGCUCCGCUCCAUGUCAGCUCGUCGUUCCCCUGCGGUUGCACCCACUAUUCAACUCCACGGCCUCGUGCCGCCCUUGCCGGAGCAUGCUUCGGGCCGCUUUUGCUCCGGGUCAUCGCAGAGGUGCCGCCGAGCCGCCUUUGGCCACCUUGCUUCUGCGCCCGGCAGGCGUGCAUCUGUGCCCGGCGCGCCCCCGCCUUACUGCAUUCCGUGCGCCGCAUCCGGUCCUACGCAUCCGCACUGCCGUGGGCCUCCUCCGCCUCACCGUCCUCAUGGCCUGCCCAAGCCGCCGCUUGUCUCCGCCGGGUUACCAUGCGUUCAACCGCCGUUCCCGAGCCGUUUUCGCCAUGACCCCAAGCUGCUGGUCUCCGCCGGCGCACCUCAGCGGUUGAGCCGACUCCACCUCUGCUCCGUCACAAGCAAACCUCCGCCAGAUUUUCACUUCAAGCUACCAGUUGCUGCGUUUUUGUUCGACGCCUCUACUACUGUCGGAUCAUUGAGCCGCCGUGACCGCGCGAGCUGUCCCGGCGUGAGCAGCUUCGCCGGCCGAGCUGCGCCCUGUUUCAAAUCGUUGUGUUGAGCUGCCACCGUGACCCGCCGACAUGCCACCUCCAAACUGCUCCAGCUAGAGCCGCCGCCUUGGCUUCCCGUGAGCUGGUUCUUUGACGCAACCUCACGCCUGGUUGUGCUUAGUUUCCUCUGCCUCCGGGCGUUCGCCGAAGCUGGUUCCAGGUCGUCGCCCAGGCCCUGCCUUCCCGCUGUGGCUGGCGGCCCGUGCAAAAGAAGAGACAUAAUCACUUUAAAAAAAUUAGGAUAGGCGCAUGCAUGGAGAAGGAAAAAGGGCUCCGUUACAUUGUUUAUUGGCAUAGAUCUCGAAAUUUGACAAGCACUAGGCCUACUACCAGCUGCUGACAGUCGGUACGCAUGGCGAAAGUAAACCUGCCCAAAGCCACUUGAUUAAAAGAAAUACAGAGAAGAAGGGAGCAGCUGGAUUGGUUAAAGCAACUACAACCCAGAGAAGAACGAGGACUCGACUCUGCCGCAACCGCGGCCGUACCACGCCAGCGUAUCUCCGCUGCCGGGCCUCGCCUCGUCGACCCGUCAGUGCGCCUUGCACUCGCCUGUGCCUCCUCGGUUUGGCCGUGCCCGGAUUCUCUCCGGCGGCCAUGCACCUGCGACGCCCGCACCGGUGGCUUCGCCACCCGUUUUUGCACACAUACAUGGAGACCAAGGGUGUGCUAAUGGCCGCACCCACAUACGUGCGAAAAAUACCAGAUGCUAUUUACCCUAUUUAUUUUUAAGUACAUAUUAAUUCAUCCAAGCAAAACUACCUUGCCCUUCUGUAUUUUAUAUGCAGGAGAAUUAUUCAUUACAAAGUGGCAUUAUACCGCGGAAAUGGAGGCGCGCCAACAUCAUUUCGCACAGGUGGUCGUUGUUACUGAACGGACUCCCACACCGGCUUACAACGCCGUGGCCGUCUCUCGCGACUGCACCGGCUUACAACGCCACGAACGACUCGCACAUCCGCUCUCGCGGCCGGUUCACGCGUCCGCACCAGCUUACAACGAGGAGGACAACUUUGCUCGUCCGCACCGGCUUACAAUGCUGCGGCCGACUCAUCUGUCUGCUCUCGCGGUCAAUUCGGCCGUCAUUGUUCUCAGCUUCACUGUGGUGAUCAUCAACUCUGCGGUGGAUAAUUUCUGGCGUAACAUAUCAUGUGAAAUUCAUCCAUUAUAUUUUUAUAUUACAUAUUGAUUUCUUUAAAAGUGCAAUUACUUUGGCUUGCAAGUUCUCCCACACAGGAUUCAAACCGGUUUUUUUAUCACGGUCAAUUAUGAAGAAUCUCAAGCCAACUCCUCAAGUCGCCUUGAGACUUGGGGGCUAUGAUGACAUGACUCUGUAAAUGAUUACCAGUUUAAAGCAGAUUCAAGAACUCUGGGUCAUUGGAGGGAAAAUAACCCGGCCCCGGAGACUACUACCUUAUUUGCGAAUAUUUAAAGGCCGUCAGGAAAUUUCUGGCUUAAAAAGAAUGAUUCAGGUUCAAGAUCCGGUUCAAGGUAAACCUGUCUCCCAUAAAGCUUUGAAGCUCUCAAAUCCGGUUUAAAGUCCCGGUUCAAAAAAUAAUCUCUCGCAAGUUCGAGUUCUCAAACAAAUUAAGGGUUGUCAAAAGAGAACUUGCUGCCAGGAUGCGCGGUUCAACCAUGGGUAUCCUGCCUUACGGCUUAUCUUAUUAUGGUCACUUGGGGGCUUCCUGCUGAUCGAGCAUAGCUAUCGGUACCCUCUUGAUUGGCGUCAUGCCAAAUUUAUGGUCACUUGGGGGCUUCCUGUUCAAACAUAGGUCGUAUUCGAACCAAAGAGAACAUAGCUGUCGGUACCCUUUUGAUCGGCACACUGCCAAACUCACUAGGGGGCUUCUUGAUCGUAUUCGAAUCAUAGCUCAACCCCUUUUGGGUCCGACUUGGAUCGUAUUCGAAUCAGCAUCGUUAAACAACUCUCAAGGUCAUUUGGGGGCUUCGUGUUCAAACAUAGGUCGUAUUCGAACCAAAGAGAACAUAGCUGUCGGUACCCUCUUGAUCGGCAAGGCCAAAGCCACUGGGGGCUACAUGAUCGUAUUGAAAUCCUAGCUUAACUCCUUUGGAACGGUUUACUGAUCAUAUUUGAAUCAAAAGCCUUGAUUUUCUUUUUGCCUGGAUUAAGUUUUUAGAACACAAUCUUUUGGGUUUUGAGACUUUUUGCUCAUAUCUGAAGCAUAUAUGUGGUUUCGAUUAACCCGUCUUUACUUUGGAUGAGACAAUCAUAAACAUUUGGAAGUUCAAUACGAUUCAAUAUCAUAGGAACCGGUUUUUCAAGCCGGGUUAUAUUAUUCAAAUCUUUAAUAGCCAACAUGGCUGGAUUUUUAUUAUGGUUAUCAAUAACCAAUAUUACGACUGAGGUUUUCAAAGUCACUUCAGCGCAAUGGAUAUUAUUUUAUCAAUGGAUAUAAUUUAUUCUAUAAUGGAAGGGAAUAGUCCCGAGUCGUUAUAGGCUUACGACCCGGCACUUGGGGGCUACAUUAUUUAAGUUGAGAUUACAUCAAAUGUGCAAGUCUCAUGUCGCUGCAAGCAUGCACCAUGACACUUGGGGGCUAAUGCAAAGUCAUUUUUACUGGCCUUAUUGAAGACUCGACUCAUCAUAUCAUAAUGAGUCGGCCCUUGGGGGCUACACGUUGCUGUUCAAGUAUACAUGAUCAUAUCUACAAAGUCCCUGCUCAUUAUUGCAUAAUGACCCGGCCCUUGGGGGCUACACUCGUUGAAGUUUUUAUGAGCAUAAAGCAAUUUCAAGUCCCAGGUUACUGCAAGCAUGACAAACCGGCACUUGGGGGCUACAUAUGUGGAAUACUCAGUUUGGACUAGUGAUUGAGAUAAACAACAUGGAUUUCUUCAAAGUGAUAACAUUUUUGUUGAAGCAAGUCUUAAGUCAUUACUUUGUUCUGCUCAAGACUUGGGGGCUACAGGUUAUAUGGAUAUGAGGGAGAGAAAUUUUCAAAAUUCUCAGUUUUGACCCGGCAUCGGCAACAAUUAUGACUUGGCAUCAUCUAUUUAUAAACCCGGCAAGUUUUUUUUCAUCUUUAAGCCGGUUGAAGGUCACAUGAGUAUUUCAAGACCAAUAUUUUUAAGCAUUUGGGAGCUGAGUCAAAUGAAUUAUUCUUCACAGUCUUUCUCUAUGAGAAACCAACAUCAGCAAAUUGAUUAUUAAGUUGGCUCAUUGACCUAGAUUUUCGAAGGAGGAAAUAACAAGGAGUUAAGGAUGACCAGGUGCCAGCUUACAACAAUAUUUAACCCGGAGCAUAACCUGUUAAAAUUGUUCAUGUGUUUUGUUUACAGGAUCAGUUUAACAUGGAUGAAUCCAAAUUAAACUGGGGGCUAAUGUCGGGGAUAUACCCCGUGGUAUGACUCGGCCGAAGAUAUGACCCGACUGGGACUUGAUGUUUCAUUGGUGACCCGGCAGAUUAUAAACCGGCAGACACAGUCAUCUAACCCGGCAGACACAGUCAUGUAACCCGGUAGACACAGUCAUGUAACCCGGUAGAUGUUAAGCCAGAUGGUAAGCCAGAUGGUAAGUCAGAUCGUAAGCCAGACCGUAAGCCAGAUGGUAAGCCAGACCGUAAGUCAGAUUGUAAUCCAGAUUGUAAGAAGCCCAAGACGUUAAGAAGCCCAUGGUGAGAAGCCCAUGGUAAGACAUCAAAAUAGGUUAAGUCUUAAGUCCGAGUUGGACUCUACAUGUAACCCACCCCUUCAGCUUAUAUAAGGAGGGGCGGGGCACCCCAAGAGGAGAGGUUGAAUAAGGGCUAGGUUAGACAUAACUAGGAGAGCCAGCUUACGGCAACUCCUCUCAUGAGCAUAAUGAGACCUAGCCACAAACAGCAUCUAGGGUUCUUACUGGAUGAUGUUUCCCGGGGCCCGAAGCUGUCUAAACUCUUGUCUUGUGUUGCGUCUCUCGAGUCCGCUCAACCCCUCUCAAGCUACCACAGAGAUGCGUUGGCCUCACGAUUAAGUCCUCACACUAGGACAUCUGACGUGACAAUUCCACGACACACCCAUUGUUAUGCUUAAAAUACUAUUAUGCAUAAACUCUACCAGCAGCGUGUGCAAAGCACGCACACGUGGUUAGUGCCACACAAGGAGUUGUUUUCUUGCGCACACGCUACUAAUGACAUUAUUAUAUUAAGUACCCUUGAAAUAUUAAAACAACCCCCAAUAAGUCCAUAAUUAGAUAUGUGACUAUAGAUGGUGCAUAUUACAUGCAUACAAACUUUUGAAGUGAAAUAAAUGACAACACUACCAUCUCUCUCAGACCAGCCACACUUCCCGAAACUCCAUUGGGAUCACCAUGGAGAUAUACCUCUAGUUUCUAAGGAACCUCUACCAAACUUUUGUGUAACACUUUGUAAUUUUAACCACAACUUCAAGUGGUAUAUAAUGACUCCACGCCAACUUCCAAAAAAAUCUUGAGUACAUUUACAUUUAAGAAAAAAAUCAAACACCAUUUAAAAAUAAUUGAUCUGUUGGCCCAUAAAAACGUUUGUUUUUUCCAAUUGUUUUCAUUAAAAAAACCAAUAGUACACUUAAUAGCUUGUAUAGCAAAAAAUUGGAAAACAAAACAAACUUAUAUUAUCCCAAAACCACUAAAAUCUUAGUAUGGCAUUACCAGUGUUUGCUUCCUGGUCGCGCUUGUGCAGUAAAGCACAUGCAGCUGGAUCAUUGGUAUACAAACCGUCACGUAACUUAGCAGCGUGUCGUGAAGGCGCAUGCGGCUAGUGGAUUGGCAUACAAACUUUGGCGCGCGCGCGCACACACACACUCGCGCUCGUGCACGUAAAGCACAUGCAGCUGGAUCAUUGGUAUACAAACCGUCACGUAACUUAGCAGCGUGUCGUGAAGGCGCAUGCGGCUAGUGGAUUGGCAUAAAAACUUUGGCGCGCGCGCGCGCACACACACACACGCACGCACGCACGCAUGCAUGCAUGCAUCUCCCAUCGUCGGGCAUCCCUACGCUUGAAGUCGGCCUCAGCGCCAACGCUGAUGCCCAUUGAUGGAGUCCUGGACUAGGGGGGUACUCAUCAUGUCGUCUCCCGACCAAGAGGGCCGUGCUGAGGACCCCCGUGGUGGUUCAUUAGCGGGUCACUUCUGGCAGCCCAUGACACAUACGAGAAAGAUUCAACAAGACUUGACAUACAAGACAAGGACUCCUCUCCUCCGAUGUAGCCGACUAUGACUCUUGUUAUCAUAGGCCUUCGGUACAUUAUAUAAAACGAGACCAGGCUAGUCGAUAGAUCUUACAUACACAAGCUUGAGGUAGAUCAACAUGUACUCUGUACCCCAUUAUCGGUGUCAAAACUGGAAGAUCUCGGGUAGGGCGGCCCGAGCUGUUAGAUCGUAUCGAUGGGUAACAAGAGAGAGAACACACACAAAGUUUACCCAGGUUCGGGCCCUCUCCAUGGGGGCAAAAAACUACGCCCUGCUCUUGCCUAUAUUAUGAAGUAUCAAAGUACAGAGUUGAUCUGCCUUGAGAUCGUUGGUUGUGGUCUAAACCCUAUGGGUAUGAUGAAUGUAUGGAUGGCCUCUACAGACUAAACCUUCUAGUUUCUAUAGUCACCAGGGGUAUCUAGGGUUACACAUGGUUGGUUGCAUUUAAGAAUUUACAUGCCGAAUCUAAUUUGAUAUGCUCAAAGUACACGCCAAGUCUUCAGUCGCCACACUUUGAAGGCCUUCGGAGUCCUCCCUCCUUAAUGGGCUGGUGGUCUGGUCCAUACAUUAGUCCUGCUGGGUUAGGACCCCCUAAUCUAGGACACUAUCACACAUCCACAAUCAAUGCAAACAAAGUAGGACGUAGGGUUUUAUCUCUUCGAGAGGGCAUGAACCAGGGUAAACCACUACAAAAAAAGAUACAUCCAUGACAUUAUGGUCUGAAUGAAAACUUUUUCUGUCAUGGAUGUGAACCUUCCAUGAUGAUAAUUUUGACAAAAACUUGUAUCAUCGUAGAUGUGUGGGCUCCUACUUCUAUGACAAAAAAUUAUGAUAAAAAAAUGAGCUUUUCACCCUAUGCGGAUCGGACGCGGACCUGCAUGACAUUCUUUAGGCCGUCCAUGACGUAAAAACUCCUGGUAGAAGUGAGGGUUAGAUUUUUUUUUGGGGGGGGGGGGAAUUUCCCGGUUAUGGUGGGAAAUCGGUGGGUGGUCGGGUCUUGCGAUGAAGUGUGGUUUGUGUCUUUCUCUCGUAUGCGCGUGUGUGCAAGGCAUUCACUAACUGAACCCGUGCAAGGUGUUCACUUACUGAACCUGAUCGAUCCCUCGUCUUACUGAACCGGAGCGAUCGAUCCCUCACACUACAUAUUGAAACUGAGUGAAUCCCUCGCAGUACUACUGAACCCGAGUGAUCAAGCUCGCUGCUUACCGAACUCGAGCGAUCCUUUCGAUGUUUACUAAACCCGAGUGAUCCCUUCCCUGCUUACUGAACCCAAUCGAUCAAUGCGCGUAUGUUGUUGUGCGAGACAUGAGUUGACCUAGCGGCCGGUUGGUUGCCCCUCAAUGAACAUUGUCCCUUGUUGUUGCACGCAUGAAACAUAGAUCGAGUCAAGACUUGCAUCGUACAGAGACAUGGUGAGUUGACCUAGCCAGUUGGGUAGUUGUGUAUGAACAGUUCCCGUUGCUGCCGCUUGCUCAUACGCCCCACCCCAGCCGGUGAGGGUUGGAUGUGUUGGGAAACAUAGCAAAAAAUAAAAAAAUAACGCCUACGCGCACCAAAGAUCAAUAUGAAGAUGCAUUACGGAUUGCGAUCAUGAUCGUUACCAUCACCGAGUUGCAGCAGAAGAAGAAUGUGUCGGUGUAGAUCGUACUUGGAGUCGCUCGAACCAUCAAUGAACAAUCCAGUGAACCGUCGAACAGUCCCUUGAACCAAAGACGGAAAGCCUGACCUCUCUACUUGGUUGCAAGUGUGCAACCUUCACAAUUCGGCAGUGCUUCACCAUCCAGAGCUAACCAUCACCAGAGAAUUAGAGGGAGGAGAUUCGAAUCAUACUAGGCUUCUAGUUAUGAGGAUUAGAGGAACCAGGUCUAGCUCUAAUUAGAUCAACUAGGAUUUGGCCUUUUAAGGACCGUUGAUAUUAAAUUAGGUAUAAAAGACCACUAACAAUUACUAGAUCAUAUUAUAUGUAAUUUAACAUCCCCAGAAACAUAUUCCACCUAUAUAUUAUUAAUCAAUAAUACCCAGUAUUACCUGAUACUCUCUGAAACCCUUCCAGUGACCCCAAAACGCUUCCGGUUUCUCUUGAACUAUUCUGAAUACUAAAAAAACAAUUUCACAAAUAUAUUCUCAUCAUUCUUGUCGUACUACCACUCAACACAUCAUGAUUGCCUUAAGCUUGUGACCAUGUAGGUUCGGUAACUCAUAGACAUCAACGAAACCGUUUGUUCAAUGACCGACAUCGGAGCUGUAGACGGCCAUAUCGAUCUCUAUGGGAACAUGAAUGAUAUUAAAGUAAACCUUUGGUUAUCAUGUGAUGUUUCCUUUGCUUCAUGAUACUUCACAAAACCUGGGAUGCAUCAGUAUCCUCCUGACUCAUCACCAUGCUCACUAUUACCGUUAUCCUCAUUACCAGUUUUGUUCUUGUUUCUCAAUGUCAUGUUCCGGCAUCCCCGUGAUGUAGUCACUUGUGCCUGACCAGACGAUGAUGGAUACUGUCACACCGAGAGAUCUCUAAGAAUAUCUCUCCAUCAUCGGAGGAGCAAAUCCCACUCUUGAGCUAUCUAGUCCCUUGUCAAACUUUUCGAUGAGCUUGUAAGUUGCCGUUAUGAUCACCGUGUUACAUGUGACGUUUGAGCAACCCCAAAGUCCAUGGUACUAUAAGAAGCGACUACUAUACUCUCAUGGUCUAAGGAGCAAAGUCACAUGUUAACACUCUGUGUUAUUACAAUUGAUUACAGAUGAUAUAAAAUCAAUUCAUAACAGACAAGUUUGGGUCGAUUCAAUAUGAUUGUUCUUCCAAUGUUAUAAUCUUAAUAUUGUUUCAGGUAUCGUUUAACACUGAACGAUAUCCUAAGAUCCAAAAACAUGAUCACCAACAACACAUGUAAACGGCCUAUUGUUACUGAGGGCCCAAAUUAUGUUUAGGCAUGUUAAAGGCCCAAUGUGGGCACAUGCCUACAAAAAAAUAUGAAAGCUUAUGCUGAUUUAGGCCCAAAUAUUUUUAGUGGGCUACAUGGAAAUUACAGCCCAUAAUCGUUUUUAGCCCAAUUGGAAUGGGCCCGAUGAAUGUUGGCAUGUUGGGCUCCUAUGAAGCUUUCGGCCGAAUACAUUACUAAGAUAAACCUACACUAUACAAAAAUAGCGUCGUAAUUUCUGCACCUUUGGCAACCCCAUAAAUGCUGUAUCACAACAAAAUAAAUUCCAACCAUACAACAAAAUGCCUGUUGGCAUAAAGUUUACAGUCCUUGCAGAUAAAAGCACCAUCAGAUGUAUAGAAGCAUAGAUCAUUUGACCUAAGUGCUAAUGUUUCAGGCUGUAGAAUCUGAUGGAGCAGCAUGGUCUUCCCCUUUUCUCUGCCAUUGCUCUUGAACAAUGAAGCCAAUGUCUGAUAGUCUAGUUUCAAAACCAUUCAUAUCUUGACGACAUUUGUCAACCACUAUUCUUGUUUCCGAGACGACAUCCAUUAGGUAUUGGACUUGUGUCUAGAGCAUAUGUAUAUCACUCUGUCUAGCCGGAAGAUUUUGUUCAGUAGGCGAUUUGGAUGAGGUUACCUUGACAACCAACCCAAAAUUACGCAGGAAGGUGCUUUUUGCACUAUUAGUGGAGAGAUACUGACGAACUAUGGCAAGAGGUGACAUUGUGCCUGUGGUAGCCUCAUCACCUUCAAGUGGUUGUGGCUGUUGAAUCAUUUGUUCCAUAGCUUGCUAAAAGUUUGAACUUGUAGAUUAGUGUACCAGAUAAGUUACUAAUGAGACAAAAACAAACAAAGUAUGUUUCACGUUUAUACAUAACUUAUUUUGGUGAACUACUGUAAUACAUUAGCAUGUGUUGUAGUGCAAACUACAUAAUAAAAUCACUUUCGGAAUAUAUGUCCAUGUAGCAUGCCUACUGUAUUGUUUAUUUCCUCACAUUCGUUGACAUCUAAGGAUAAAGAGACAUGGUUUAAAGUAGGAUGAACAUAGUAUGACAUCAUUCAUAUUAUUGGCAAACAAAUAUAAAACAAACAGGCUAUUGUAUCAUUGUGCGGGCACAUGAACAUCACAACUAGAUUACAGAUCAAGACCAAAAGAAUAUCCUUCAUCUCUUUCAAAUCAUGUAAGGUGAAAUGAUACGUUAAGACAACUGUGUAUAAAAGUGAACAGAGUAUCUGACAUUGGCUGCAAACCAAGCAGUUAAAUAAACACAUCACAGUACCAAUCAGUUCAAAGGCAGGAGGAGUAAGGACUUACAACAGCGGCUUGAACUGGUGUGCUCAUGCCCUUCAUCUUGCUGGUGUGGCAAUCCUUGAAGAUUUGCACUGCAUUUGGUUCAGGUUCUUUUUGGUCCGCAUGGGCUUUCCUCUGUAUUUGGAACAAGUCAAUAUAGAUACAAUAAUAUGGCACAGAAAAAAGAAGGAACUAGCAGCUAUUUACAAGAGCCUCGCAGUGUGCAAUAUAGCUACGAGAUCCUGUUGUUUGUUGGAAUUUCACUUUAGAACGGUUGGUCUUGUUCUUCAAAUAGUUAGCCUAGAAAAAGAUACACUUGUAAGGCACAUACAUAAAUACAAGUUCAAUAUGUGAUCUGAUCAAGUACAUAUACCCUAUCUGAUACUUUGGAUCAGACCAGUGUUUAACAAGGGCUGUCCAGUCUUCAUCUGUAAUAUAUUCCACUAGAGAUGUUUGGGCGAUUUCAUUGUUAGCAUUGCCUUCAAAGUGAGCUUUUCUAAGGUGGUACCCGUCGGUGUCAAAACCGGCGGAUCUCGGGUAGGGGGUCCCGAACUGUGCGUCUAAGGUCGAUGGUUACAGGAGACGGGGGACACGAUGUUUACCCAGGUUCGGGACCUCUCUAUGGAGGUAAUACCCUACUUCCUGCUUGAUUGAUCUUGAUGAAUAUGAGUAUUACAAGAGUUGAUCUACCACGAGAUCAUAAUGGCUAAACCCUAGAAGCCUAGCCUGUAUGACUAUGGUAGUGAGUGUGUCCUUUUCGGAACAAGCUGGACGGCGCCAAGACGAGGAGAAGAUAUCCACGAUGGCGCUCGAACUUAAAAAUGCUACCGGGCGCUGUGAAUUUUUGGAGAAGGAGAAUGUAGCCAAAAUGGGUGAACUUGACAAGGCCUUACAAGAGGCGAGAGAAGCGCGGCCGGAAUCCAGAGCAGCCCGUGAUGAGAUCCGACAAGCUAGGGAGAUUGCGGAUGGUAAGCCCUUUGUGCUACAGACUAAGUUCGGCGAUCCGAACUAUGCUUAGCUUGACUGAGUGUGGAGUUCUCCGGACAAGUUUUUAGACUUGACGAAGAGUUCUUCCGAUGCGGGCAGUAUUAUCAAGCGCGAGAGGGGUACGCAACGGAGAAGCUUUUCUGGUCACAGUUUGGCGCUUCAAAGCGCCCUCUGUUGCUGAAUGAACAGAUGUCCCAAUGGGCCGAGCUUCAUAGGAUAUCCGGCGCUGCCAUGAAGAACGUCAUAAUCCGGUUGCGGCCAACCGAGUCUGUUCCGAAUAGCUACUUCGGUUUGGUGCAAAGGCUUGUUGGCACGGUGCCGCAUAUCAACGCUGUGAAGCGGUCGGCGUGCAUUGAGGGUGCACGGAUGGCUUUUGCCCGAGUCAAGACAUUCUGGGGGAAGAUGAAGGCCAUCGAUUUUGUGGCGAAGAGUCCACCCAAGGGCAAGGACCGUCCUGAACCGGAGCAUUAUUUUGAAGACGUCCUAGAGGCUGCCCGCUUGAUAGAGGGUCAGUGCUCGAAAGACAUAAUGUUCGAGUGAGGUGUAUGAGAAUUGUAAAAGACAAUUUUAUAGUUAAUCUAUUUUAUGUUUUGCUCGAAAGUUUGUAUUCCUCCUGUGCGGCCGUUUUAAUAUAAGCCGAAAGUUUUCCAGUUGUCGGCUUCAGCCCCCUCGUAGGAAGUACAGGGGUGUUCGGAAAAGCAUUUAAUCACUCCUUAUCCAACGUCUUGGUCCAUGAAGGAGAUAAUAAUGCAGCGAACCAGGCAAUUGGACUAUAGGGCGUUAACACUUUCACUUAGCCUUAGGAGUAUUAUGGUGGGGCUACGACAUAGCCCCUGGUAUGUAUGCGGCGUAUUAUAAUAUGGAUAUGGUGCCUUACAUAUUUGAUCUGAAAAAGAUCCCUCGUGUGACACGGGGAAUCGCUAAAGAUUCCAAUAAGUCAUCAAGUGGUUGACCAACUCUCGCCGCAUCAUGACAGUCAGUUUUGGGCUUUCUCUACUGAGGUACUUGACCAGAUGAACCGGAAGCACAAUCGCAGUAGUUCUCCCUUUACUACCCUAGCCGAUGGAGCGGAACGUAGGGUAGCAAGCACAAGAGCUGGGUAACCCAACUAUUGACCCAAGACAAUGAUUCGGAGCUGAUGCAUAUAAGGCCAAACUUGCAACGCCGAAGUACGCUAUAGAGUUGUUCAGGCUUUUGCUGGCGACUCAUUUGUUCCCAUACCGAGCCCCUGGCAGGUUAUGCCAAGGUAUAUCUGUGAAACAACCAUAGGAGCCAUAUUCAUUGGCGAAACAACAUGGAUGAUUAAUUCGGAUAUUGUUUACUAGGACCUGAGCAAUAUGCCAAUGAUUACUUUAUGUAUAUAAAGACCACAACCCCGUCUAUGUGACAUGCUCAGGGUCGGAGGUGGAGGAAGAGGCAUAGUACAGGCUCGAAAUAAAGAGCGCGGUCUUCAAAAAGUUAUUUUCGACCUCCUAUCGCACGUCUGCGCCGCUUGUCCUCGGUGAGGGGAAUCCUUGAUGGAAGUAGCCCCUUAGGUGAGUGUACGGAUCCGAACUCCGAUAGAGUCAGUUUUGGAUGUUUGUCCUGUUCGUCACCUGUUUUUAAUUCCACCAAUGCCCAUGGUAUCUUGAGUGCGUAGUGAUGUAUGCGCGGUACAAAUUUUGCAGGUGUACUAGGUGGGCGGCAGAAGCUGGACUGCUAUUUUCGCUCCAAGAGUAGUCGAUCCUCGGGUGGAAAUUGCUUCUGACCCCCGGUAUUUCGUUGGUGAACCUCUCCGUCGUCCCUGCCGCCGAGCGACCUCCUCCCCUUGUGUUCGGCGUUGAUCUUGCUGGCCUGCUUAAAGACCAAGCAGUUUUUGUUAGUAUGAUUAGCUGGUUUAUUGGAGUGGCCGUGAACCUGGCAGGGUCGGUCCAAUAUCCUGUCUAGGUUGGAUGGUUCGUCUCGGUUCACCUUGAAUGGCUUCUUCCAUUGAUCGGGCUUGGGAUUGCUGAAUCCGGCAUUAACCAUUGUGUUGUGUGAUCCCUCAUUAUCAUUGCGACUAUUGUGUUUGCUUCGUCGUGGCUUGCCGUUGCCGUCUAGGAUUUCGGAAGUGCCCGGGUUGCUGGCACUAUUGCUUCUACGAGCGAGCCAGCUGUCUUCUCCCGCGCAAAAGCGGGUCAUUAGAGCAGUAAGGGCUGUCAUGGAUUUAGGUCCUUCUUGACCGAGGUGGCGUGCAAGCCAUUCGUCCCGGACGCUGUGUCUGAAGGCUGCGAGGGCUUCCUCGUCCGGACAGUUGACGAUUUGGUUCUUUUUGACUAAGAACCGAGUCCAGAGCUUCCUGGCUAACUCUCCGGGCUGCUGGACAAUGUGACUUAGGUCAUCGGCAUCCGGUGGCCGGACAUAUGUUCCCUGGAAGUUGUCAAGGAAGGCUUCUUCCAAGUCUUCGCAGCUGCCUAUGGAAUUUUCAGGCAGGCUAUUUAACCAGUUCCGAGCUGGCCCUUUUAGCUUUAGUGGGAGGUAUUUAAUGGCGUGGAGGUCGUCUCCAUGGGCCAUAUGGAUGUGGAGGAUAAAAUCAUCUAUCCAUACCGCAGGAUCAGUUGUUCCGUCGUAUGAUUCAAUAUUGACGGGUUUGAAUCGUUCGGGGAAUUCAUGAUCCAUUACUUCAUCAUUGAAGCAAAGAGGGUGUGCGGUGCCUCUAUGUAGGGCCACACUGUGACGUAACUCCGAAGGAGUCCAUUUGUGGUUUUCGGCUCGGGCGUGGCUAGGUUCGUCACGUCAGGAUAUGUAGCCAUCGUCGUGUGUCGAGGCAUGCCCUCACGAUCCGUAGAUCGAUCUUGCGUGUCAUGCUCUACUGUCCAAGUCUCGUUGAAGGUCGUCUAUACAAUCAUGAGCUGUGUUAUUCUUGCCUUUACGGUGAUGUGGGGCGGUCUGGUGUUCGGCUUGAGUUGCCUCUUUAUCCGGACAGAGUUGUUGACGACCCGCCGCAUUGUGUGAUGGUGGUACGGGCUCCAAUGCCUCGUCAUCGAACUAAGGUAGAAAUCUAUGCUUCGGGUAGCUUUUGGCUGGGCCACUAAGGCCGUAUCCCUCGGCGGCCAGGACUUCGGUCCAUCUAUCAUUGAGUAGGUCUUGGUCAGCUUGAAGCUGUUGUUGCUUCUUUUUCAGGCUCCUUACAAUAGCUAUUAGCCUGCGCUUGAAGCGCUCCUGCUCGAGGGGUUCUUUGGGUACGAUGAAGUCUUCAUUGCCGAGGCUUACCUCAUCUUCGGAGAGUGGAAGGUAGUUGUCAUCCUUCGAAUUCUCGCUGGCUAAGGCCUGUGUAUCGGGGCUGGCUUACCUGUUUUCUUGUUCCUCCUGUUCGAAUCUUGCUCCAAUAGGGUCUUCAUUGUUUUCGGCGUCGUCCAGAGUACUAUUUUCUCCGGUGCCAGCAUUGCUUCGAUGUGACUUAGAGCGGCAUUUAGGGCGCCGGUACUUAGACUGUGUCUCAGGAGGUUUAUUCUCACCUGGAUCUUCUUUGUCAUCAUCGCUAGCUUUUUUAGGUGUAUCAACCAUGUACACGUUGUACGAAGAGGUGGCCGUCCCACGUACCGUGAAUGGCGGGUCUUGGCCUUGCUCCUUGUCGGCAUCGUCGUCUAUACCGUCGAUGUCUUCGGAGCCAUAAUCAAGCAUGUCGGUUAAGUCCUCGACAGUGGCUAUGAAGUGGGUGGCGGGUGGGAAGUGAAAUUCUCCAUUAUCAGCCUCUAAUUCGAACCAGACAUAGUUCGGCUGUGAGUCCACUGCCAAGGACAGGAUUUUUAAUGAAUUUAGAACGUCGCCUAAGGGCGAGUGUUGGAAGAUAUCUGCGGCACCGAACUCGAAGAUCGAUAACCGAUCCAGCUCUGCGCCCGCAGGCGUGCGUGGUUCGGAACUUAUAGCCAGAGACGAGUCCAGAAUUCCGUUGACGCAGACAUUGCAAGGUGCUGAUUCCGUGUGCGGCUCCAAUGCCGCGGAUUCUGCGGUUUUGGAUGGCGCAAUCUGCUCCGGAUCUAAGGCUGUAGCAGUUACAGGAACCAUCUCCUGAAUAUGGUCUGAUGACAGAUUUAAGUCAUGUUCCUCGGAGCGAGGGGGAGCAAUCGUCGUAGUCUUAAAUCCUUUGAAGAUCAGGUCUCCACGGAUAUCCGUGACGUAGUUGAAGCUUCUAAAUCUGACCUGGUGGCUAGGGGCGUAGCUAUCGAUCUGCUCCAGAUGGCCGAGCGAGUUGGCCCGCAGUACGAAGCCACCGACACUACAAAAAAAUACACUUCCGUGAUGAUACGUGUUUGUCAUAGUAGGUCACAUUUUCUGUCAUGCAUGUACAUCCAUAACAAAUUUAUGACAAAAUCAAGAUAGUCAUACCUGUGCUGUCAUAGAAGUGUUCCAUGACAUUACCAAAAUUAUCAUCACAGAAGUGUCCACUUCCAUGACGAUAAAUCGCGCGUCACAGAAGUUCUUUCAUCAAGGGUGACCGACACGUGGCAUCCACCGUAACGGAAUGCCGUUAAGCUAUCAAGUCCGGUUUUGGAUCCGAUAACCCGUUAACAGCCCCGACCAAUGGGGAUUUUCCACGUGUAAAAUCAUCAUUGGCUAGAGGGAACAUGUGUCGGCUCGCCGUUGGGAUAGAUGUCAUCCACUCAUUGGACCCAAAGCGCCUAUGGUACGUCGACACGUGGCACGUCCCAACAGAGGUCCAUUCCUGUGAAAAGGCCGGCCCGUUUGACUUGGUCAAAAGGUGGCGGGCCGGCCCAUGACAAGCCUAUUAACGGCCUAUUCGCAUAUAGCCCAUUUACAGCCUGCUAACCCAGGGCCCAUUUACCGGCUAUCCGAAUUAGGCCCAGUAGCGUCAUCUGGGCCGUCUAAUAUAAUUCUAGCCCAUUUUAACUUCCGGCCCAUGUAUGGCCCAUGACGUCUUUUGGCCCAUAUGAGGCCCUUAUUACUCUCGGCCCAUUAACGGCCCGUGGUAUGGCCCGUAAUGAACAAUAUAUCACUUUAUACCCAUUAACGGCCCGUGGUGAAACUGGCCCGUAAUGAACGGUGUAUCACUUUAUACCCAUUAAUGGCCCAUUAUUCCGUUGGGCCGUUUCUAGCCCAUGUUAUCUUUCGGCCUUCUCAGGGCCCAUUAUUCUGGGGCUCAUUUCCAGCAUUCAUUUACUUUCGGCCCAUUACUGCCAUUUUCUGCUUGUGGGCCAAAUUCAGCCUGUGAUUACAGUCGGCCCGUUUGUGGCCCAUUAAUACGUUGGGCCGUUUUCAUCAUCGAAUACGACUGAUUAAUGAUGACCCGUUAUGGUCGGCCCACGAACGGACGAUUUCAACUCUAGCCCAUUUACGACCAUAAUGCGGUCUGUUAUUGGCCCAUGUUUGGCCAAGCGAUCAUACAGCCCGUAGAAGGCCCACUGAUGAUACGUCCCGUAGAAGGCCCAUUGUGUCUAUGUCCCGUAUAAGGCCCAUUGUUUCUACGCCCCGUAGAAGGCCCAUUGUUUCUACGGCCCUUAGAAGGCCCAUUGUUUCUACGACCCGUAAGAGGCCCAUGUUAACUACAGUAAUUUUUUGCCCAUGGUUAAUGUGGCCUAGUUUUAAAAAAUAGGCUAUUGCGGCCAAUAGCAAACCUCGGAAAAAGAACUGCACAGACUACAAGGAAACAAAUAAGCAAGACAAUAAGGAAAUAAAUAGGCAAGCAACUUACGCUAGGCUAUCAUGGCUAUUACACAUAUUACAUCCACUGUGCAUCAAAGUUCGCCACUAGUGCAAAUAUAGGGAACAAAGCAGCAUAUAAACACCACAGCAAAACAAGUCCAGAACUGAAACCACUUCAUAAGAGCUCAAGAAACAAUAUCCUGGGUACCCAUAAUGCUGGCAAGAUGCUUAGCAAGCUUAUUAACUUUCUCUUGUUUGGCGCUUAAAUCCUCCACCACUUGCUGUUGCACCAGAAAGUAUGCAUCUGAAUUCUGCGGGGACUUCCUCAGUCCUUUGGCUUCCUGUCGCAUAACAUCUGAUCGAUGUCUUUCAACUUGAAGUUGAGACUCAAGAAGCCGAACUGAUUCAGGCAGCGAGUUCAAAGAACUGGUGCCAGCAGUAGUAGCCAGUAACUCGAACACUACAUCAAGACAGUACUUUGGGGUUGCCUCAGUGUCUUCAAUAUAGUUUUUAUCAGCUUUCUUGGAGACCAACAGGGAUGUCUCACUAUAUUGAACCUUAUCUGCAUUACUUCCUGUACCAUUGCAUAACGGGGUACUCUUCUCCAAUAUUUUAUCCACAUUCUAAAAGAGAAACAAACAAACACAUCACAGGUUUACAAUGUAGUAUAUGAAACUCAUUUUGGUAAAUCAGUUCAGUAGUAAGGUGGAUAGGAUAACAACAUGAAACAAACAUAUACCUAUGUAGUAUGGUCACUGUAUGGUCUUUAUCAUUCUAGUUUAUGUUGCCAAAUCAAGAUAGAUACAGUUCGAAUCAUAUCUAUUUAAGACAAAGCAACUUAGACAGAAUAUAAGUGUGGGAAACUACACAGCAAUAACAACACUUGUAAGGUGCAUGGCAUGAGAAUAUAACUGUUUAUUCAAUUGAAACUGAAAUCAACAUAGAGCAAGUUACAAUAGCAAACGCGUUAAAGAAACAGGUUUAAAACAUACCUGUUGCGCCAUUGGAGUUUCAAUUGCAUCCUUCAUAUUUGAAAUUAGUUGGUAUGAGUAAAUACAGUGAUGCAAGAGCAAAGUAGUAUGAACCAUAACUACGGAACCUGACCUGAGAACAAUUCUUCUUCUUCUUUAAGCGUUGACUUGGGGUUUGGAGUGGUGGUCCUCGUGCUUUGGGCACUGCAGUUGCCUUACUAACUGCUCGUGUUUGGGUGCUCUGUGGUGGAGACGGUGUUGUGUCAAUGGGAACUGGGUUACUAUUUGCUGGGGUUGGGGUUAGAAGGGGUGUAGCUGGUUCUCUGUCCAACUGGGUAGGGGUACAUCUGUGUGAGUCUGGGUUAUGUGUGGUGGGGCUGGUUCUUGGGCAAGUACAACCGUGGUUCUAUCUCCAUCGACAGGUAGCACGAUCUUUUCUGAAGACCGUGUUUUUACUCCCACAUAUACUGCCAUCACCCUCCUCCAAUUGAAAUGGAUGAUAAACAAGAAAAGUAAUUGAAUGUACAUACAUUGUAAGAUAGACAGGUGCAAUGGAUAAUAGGGAAGAAAACAGGGCAUGAAAUAAUUCACAUUUAUGUUGUCUAACCAAACAGAAUAGCAGGACAUAAUUUCACAUAUAUGAUGGCUAAUUAAACAGGAUAUCAUGACACAAUUUCACAUGUAUGAUGGCUAACUAAACAGGAUAGAAUGACAUACUUCAAAAUAUGAUGACUAUGUAAAUAGGAUGACAUGAUAUAACUAUAUGAUGUGUCUAUUAAAGUGGUUGGCAUGCCAUAAAUCACAAACAUGCCAUCGAUGGAAACAUGAUGGCAUGAUAUAAUUCAUGGAUAGAAUGGCAUAAUUCAAAAUAUGAUGACUAUGUGAACAGGAUGAAAUGAUAUAACUACAUUAUGUCUUUAGAAAAUGGGUUGACAUGCCAUAAUUCAGAUACAUGCUGUCUAUGUAAACAUCAUGGCAUGAUAUAAUUCAAAUAUAUGAUUUAUAUACUAAGGAAGUGAGCAGAGGGCAAUCACAUAUAUGAUGUGUCAACUAAGGAGAUGGCAUUCAAUAUCGUGUAUAUGAUGUAAAAACUAAACAUUGCAAUACAACAUAUGCAUGCUAUGAGUAAUAUAACCCUGCCAAGUUUGAGCAUACACCUCAGGGGGAUAAUAGGACUAGUCAUCUGCCUCCGAAUCCUCCUCCGAAGAGCUAUCUGUAACCAGCAAGAUAUCUGCUUCACCAGGUAGCAUUGUCUGCUCUGAAGACCUUGUUUUCACUCCAGAUUUCUCCAUCAUCAAUUCAAAUGGCUGAUGCACAGGAAGAGCAGUUGAAUAUACAAACAUUGUCGACAAAGCAAUGAGAAAUACAAAAAAAAGGAUGACAUGAGAUAAUUCACAUAUAUGACGCUUGGCUAAACAGCAUGGCAUUGCAUAAUUCACAUAUAUAAUGCCUUGCAACAAGAUAGCAUUGCAUAAUUCACAUAUAUAAUGUCUUGCAACAAGAUGGAAUUGCAUAAUUCACAUAUAUGGUAAUUAGACACUAAACAGGUGGCAUUCACACAAAGCAUGUGUAAACUAAGCAAAUGACAUAGCAAUGAAAGAUAACAUACGCACGAUAUGAGCAUCAUAACCCUGCCAAAUGAAAGAUAACAUACGCACGAUAUGAGCAUCAUAACCCUGCCAAGUUAGAGCAUGCACCUUGCGGGGGGGAUAGGACUGGUCAUCUGUCUCUAAAUCCCCCUCUGAGGAGGUAUGUGUAACCAACAAGACACGCGCUUCGUCAGAUAGCAUUGUAUGCUCUGAAGACCUUGUUUCCACUCCAGAUUUUUCCAUGACCGUGCUGAAUGGCUGGUGCACAGGAAGAGUAAUUGAAUGUACUAAAAUUGUUGACAAAUUUAACACGUAAUAAAAAAUGAUGUCAUGAUAUAAUUCACAUAUAAGAUGACUGGCUAACCAGGGUGGCAUUACAAAAUUCACAUAUAUGACGCCUGGCUAAACAAGAUGGCAUUGCAUGAUUCGAAUAUACGAUAAAGAAACUAAACAGAUGGCAUUGACACAAAGCAUGUCUAAACUAAGCAGAUGCCAUCUUUAAUGUAUACAGUAAGCAAUGCAAGGCACCAUAUGCAUGAUAUUACCAACAUCAGCAUGCCAAGUUAGAGCGAAGACCUCAUGGGGUAAAUAGGAGUGGUCUUCUACUUCUGAAUCCCCCUCAGAACAGUUAUCUUCCUCUUGAUUACGAUCCGAAAUGGGUGGAGGGGGGAUGCCUUUGUGCCCACCAUGGAGUGAUGUCUGCAUGAAAAUGUAUUGCCACGCAAGGCUCGUCUCUUUUGCUCUACAUGUUCAGUUCCAUUGUGUACAAUAACUGGCAUGCAUAGGAAUAGAACAUAGUGAGAUUAUGUAAGGAGUGCAUGCACAAAUCCAGAGUGAUGGUAGCAAACUGUGGAUAGACCCAAAACAAAUGAUAGCAGGCAGAUAAUAGCUUUAGUUAAAAAAUACAGAUAAUGGCUCCUUUAAUGUUUGUUUGCACCCAACAUGAAACUCAUAGUAGACACCCGAGAUUAACCAGAUAGUAGACAGAUAGUACUGAUUUAUGCCCCAAUAUGUACCCCACAACCAUUUAAAAAUUCAAGUUUCAGCAUAAGUUUGGACCUGAGUCGGAGUCCAAUAAGUGAACACGACGAUAAAGUAGCAUGUCAUCAUAUUAAGCGAUGCAUAAUGUAAGCAGACACGGAAGAGUGCAACCUCUCUUGCGGACUCGUGUAGUCCCCAAGGUCAUCUGCUCAGUUGAUGAUGGUAAUGUAGUUGUCGUGGCUGCCGGCGGUGGGGAAGAAGAUCUGAGGCGGCGAAAGAUAGUUUGGACAGCGGAUCCCUGUUGUGGUGAACCCUUCCGUCAUUGGAGCAGCUAAGCUGGGGUGGAACACAACACCACAGGAGCAGGACAAACCAGACAAGGUUUUCUUUGACACAUAUCUGUAACAGAAGUAAUUGUGUAAGGGCUUGUUUGAAUUUGAGGAUUCUAACAAUGCAGGGAUAGGAAAUAGACAGGAAUAGGGUAGGAAUGCACGUGCAAAACAAAGAAUUAAAAAACACAUGAUUUCUGCCAAUCUGGGUGUUUGGUUAACAAGAAUUAGAAGAUCAAAAGAUGCAAGAAGCAUGGUGAGAUUAAGUCAAACCACAAGAAGUGUACAACCUCUUUGGCGAAGCCAUGUCGAUCUCAGCGUGAUUGGGUUGGCCGGUGAGGAUGCUCCGACUGACUUGGCUAUCGGAGGAGGGGAAGAAGAUCUUAGGCGUCUGGAGAUGGAGCCCGAGGUACUGCUCCGCUAUGAUGGAGGGUUUCGUCAUUGGAGCAGCUCCGGUGAGUUGUACGACACCGAUGCUGAACCAGGACAAGAGAGACAAUGUUAACCUGAAUGGAAUUCUAAUAGCAUCUCCAAUAGAUGACGUAAAAUACAUAACCACAAAGUUAUAGAUGUAUACAUCAGCCGCUCAUCUCUGAACUUAACUGUCGAAACUGAACUUAACCGUCGAAACUGAAUUUUGCUGUCGAAACUGAACGCACUAGAGGUGAGGCUACACGUCAGUCGACUGACCUUUUCAUCUCUGGUCAGUCAAUUUUGCAGCCGUUGGAUACAAAAUCAAGGGCCUGCAGUUCAUCUUCAACCUCCACCCCCCUGAGCUGCCAGCCAUCACCGGCCAAACAGUAGCCCCCCGCCGCCCGCCUGCCCCGAAAACACUCCCCACCGCCGGUUCGCCGCCGCCCCGGCCAUCCCUGUAGGCCCCCCCGUGCUGAGCUUUUUCUCCGGCGAUCCCCACACCACCGCCCCACCACCGCCGGCGACCACCGCCCCCACCCUGAACCCUAAGAUAAAUAGUGGGGUACCUCUUCGGCGAGGCCCCCUCCCCGAUGCGGCUGGUUCUUCCUUAACUCCGGCGAGCCCCCCCCCUAAAAAUCGACUGAUCCAAAAGUCGAUUCAGUCGACUGAAAUGUAGCUAAAUCAGAGCAGCAUCGCAAGCAAGAGCAAGAGCGAGAGCAGCAACGUGAGCAAGAGCAAGAGCAAGAGCAGACCAGGCAGGGGACCGAGAGCAAGAGCAGAGAAGCAGCGCGAGCGAGAGCUAAAGCAGCAGCAGCUCCUACUGAUGUGGACGUCGCCGCUGAGGGAGCGACGCUGCGGAGGAAGUGGCCGGUGUCGGUGUCAAAAUAGGUGGAUCUCGGGUAGGGGGUCCCGAACUGUGCGUCUAGGAUCGAUGGUAAUAGGAGACGGGGGACACGAUGUUUACCCAGGUUUGGGCCCUCUCUACGGAGGUAAUACCUUACUUCCUGCUUGAUUGAUCUUGAUGAAUAUGAGUGUUACAAGAGUUGAUCUACCCCGAGAUCGUAAUGGCUAAAACCCUAUAGGCCCAGCCUGAUUGACUAUGGUAAUGAGUCUGUCCUAUUCAGACUAUGCCCUCUGGUUUAUAUAGACACCGGAGAUAUCUAGGGUUACAUAGAGUCGGUUACAUAGAAAGGAAUCUUCAUAGUCGAUAGCCAAGCUUGCCUUCCACGCCAAGGAGAGUCCAAUCCAGACACGGGUACAGUCUUGGGCCUUCAUGUCUUCACAACCCACCAGUAUGGCCCACUGAUAAUAGGUCGAACGCUCGAGGACCCCUUAGUCCAGGACUCCCUCAGUAGCCCCUGAACCUGGCUUUAAUGACGAGGAGUCCAGCGCGCAGAUUGUCUUCGACAUUGCAAGGCAGAUUCCCCUUUUCCCGAACUCCAAGAUAGUCUUCGGAUGCGAUGAUUGUAUCCGGACCUGUCACACAUACCACACACAACCGCAGAGAGAAUAUAUUUUUACAUGAGUUCCAUCCGCUGACAACCCUUUUUUGCAGCACGACAUUAUGUCUGACCGGUCAUAAUUCCAAACCGCUUUUAUGUUCGACGUCCCACAUCUUGAGGCGCGGUUGCCAUUGGCACGUCUUGUCAAAGCAGAGACCGUAUCCCCUAAUCACGGGAUUCUCAUCAAUGCGGGCAUGGGUAAUCCAACCGUGCUGUUUACACAACCGUUGGGGAUAGGCGAAUCUCAAGGCGAGUGAGGAGGCGUUCAAUAUUCGCUGCCUUUAUAAGGGGAUAAGGAUUCCAUCUUCCUCUCUUAUGCCCUCUCUUGGUCUCCGCCUUUCCAAUCUCGAGCUCCAGCACCCAAGUUCUCGUCUCCUUUCCACUCAAGCCAGCACUCAACCAUGUCCGGUUCCGGAGGUCAGGGCAAGUGGAUGGUCUCCUCUGUCAAGAAGGAGGAAAUGACUGAGCUUCGAGCGGCCGGAUAUUUGGCGAAGGAGAUCGCCCACCGUCUGCCGGCUGAGGGACAGGUCGUCCACACGCCGGAGCCCAACGAGAGGGUAGUAUUUAUCCCCCAUUUCUUUCGCGGGAUAGGGUUUCCACUCCACCCCUUUGUCCGCGGGCUGAUCUACUAUUACGGGAUAGAUUUCCAUGAUCUAUCCCCAAAUUCCCUUCUCAACAUCUCGGCGUUUAUCGUCGUGUCUGAGGCCUUCCUUCGCAUCCAACCCCACUUCGGGAUGUGGCUCAAAGUCUUAAACGUGAAGCCGAAGGUGGUGGACGGCCAGCAUGCGGAGUGCGGAGGAGCCAUGGUGAGCAAACUGCCCAACGUCUCCUGGCCAAAAGGCACUUUCGUGGAGACAGUAAAGGAGUGGCACAAAUAGUGGUUCUACAUCAUAGAACCCUGCGGCACCACCUGGGCCACCGCUGCCGGAUUUCGCUCCGGUGCUCCCCUGCGACUCACCUCCUAGGUCGAGAAGAGUCCGGACUGGUGUUCGCCUGAUGAGCUGAUAGCGCUGUAGACGUGCGUCCAAAGCAUGAUAACCAAGAACAUCAAGCUCGUUGAUGUAAUCCAGGUGAUGUUAGUUCGCCGGAUUCUCCCAUGCCAGCGCCGAAGCCGGCCUCUGUGGGAGUUCAAUCCGAAGAAGCACCAGACCUUGGUGAGGCUCUUCGAGACUACUCAUGAAGAUGCAUGGAAGUCGCUCUUUACGGGCAAUGAGAAACUGCCAGCCGUGGAUUCAGAUCGCGGGCACGAGCUAAGCAUCUCGCCAGCGAGGUAUGUCUUUUUAACGUAUUCCCUGCUCGUUUGUUUCAAGGAUGAUGCCUGAGCUUUUAUUAUUGCUUUUUCAGGACUGGAUGGAGACGGCGAAGCGGAUCCAGUGUCUGGCUCCGCUGCCUGAAGAACCGGUCAUCCCGCGUCUAGCAAAGAUGCUAGUGCUGGCGCCGUAUAAGGCGCCGGAGAAGAAGGCCAAGAAGAAGGCCACGGGGGCCAAGAGUGGCCCCCGUUGCAAGGGCACUUUAGAUGUGAUGUCCGAAGACGACGAAGCCCGUUCCUCCGUCCCUGAGGACAAUGACGAGGAAGAGGAGGAGGAGGAGGAAAAUAACCCUCCCCCUGAGGAGAAGAAGAAGAAGAAGAGGGCGGCUUUGGCGCAUCUGGAGGCGGAAACGCCCAAGAAGGGGAAGGGCGUCCCAGCGGUCAACACCGCGUGGGACAUUGACACCAGUCCGGAACGACGUCCCCGUGCUAAGCCCCAGGCCGCAUCGUAAGUGACAUGGUUUGCUCGUGCACACAUCUGGCCCUUUCUUCUCCAUUAUAUUGACAUAGUCAGCUGUACUAUUGCAGUCCGGCCCGCGACCUUAUCCAGCGAUCCUCAUCUGGAGGUUCGUUGGCUCCGUCGGAGACAGCGAGCAUGUCGCCACCGCCUGCUUACUCUCCCGGGGCCAGGGAUGCACCGAAGUGUUGUCCUGAAGGACUGUUCCGAACCGUGGAGGAUCCCAGGACGCUGUCCGGGAGGCGCCACAAGGCGAAACCUCCACUGCCGGACACAUGAGAGAGCAGAUCCCCAUGAAGACUGGCCAAGAGGGUCGUAUUCAGUUUGGCCCUCAGCCGAAUACGAUUCCAGGGACCAAUAAGGCUCUGGAAUCCGGUGAGCAACCUCCUUCGAAAGAGGGGGGCGCACCAAUUCCGCCGGUAACCCCUGUCCAGCCAGGGGCACCGGAUUAUCUGAUGGAAGCGCUACGAGGCGCCUCCAUUGUGGACGAGCACCGUGUCCUUAUGGGUGCGGUGAUUGAGAAGGUUUAGUCUGCCAAGAGCGGACUGAACGAAGCCUGCAGCAACAUGUUGACAGGUUUCGAGGUAAGAAAGAGAAAAACCCCAUGUAUACAGUAGCCCCUGAGACACUGUCCGGUGUUCAAAAGGAAGGCGAGACAGGGGAUCAAUCCGUUAUUGCAGGAGACUAACUGAAAAUACGCAGGCGUCGUUGUUGGCCGCGACAUCACAUACUGCCGAGGUCUCUGAACUGAAGCAGAGACUAGAGCGGGCCGAGGAAGAGCUCGGUGAGGUGAGGAGGCAGCUCCAAGAGAAGCAAGGUAUGUAACGAAUUGAUGUGUAUUCGAAAAGAAUAAGCAGUGUACAUUGACCGUAGUGUUGUAAUAUGUGCAGGAGCCGCAACCGAGGUCGAAGCCCUGAAAAAGGCCCUGGGUGAAGCCGAGGGGAAAGCUGUCCAGCAGCAAGCCGCCCAAAAAAAGCUCGAGGCCCGGGUCAAGGAGGUCCAGCAGGAGCUCCAGGAUGCAGGGGAAAAAUGCGAGGCCUUGGAGCGUGAUGCGUCGGUGGUACAAGGUAUACAACUGUUCAAAAAUAAUUUAUGGUAUAUAUACAACCGAGGGUUCGAGAUGAUGAUAAAAGUAUUAGGUACAAAAGUAAAAAAAACUGUCACAUAACACAAUGAAGAUUAGGAGCUACCUAUAGAUAUAAUUUUCAGUAUCUAGAGAACCAUAGGAUUCUGAAUUUUGGCAUCGGUGGAUAGAAUUCCGCGCAAACUAUAACACUGUUUGUUCUUAAUAGCGGUAUAAAUCUGGCCGUCAAACUGAACCCGAUUAGUCAAUGAUCCACUGAGUAGGAGUUUACCCAGUUUCAAAUAACAUAAAAUUUAUAUGCUCCAGUUUUAAUGUGAAAAGGGUACACAUGUUAGCACACUUCAUUCAUCCAAAUACAUUCAACAUCUACUGAAUUGUCAUUGCAUGAGAAAUUCAGGUUUUAAUCUGGUGCAUAGAACCUCAUGUAUCCUGAAUGGUACACUUCGGAUGCAUUCAACAUCAAAUGAAGUGUACUAAAUGGAUCUGGAUGUACCCUUCAGUUUUAAUUCGGUUGUUGUUAUUCAUAUUCAAACUGAUGCAUACAAGCUCAUGUAGCCUGAAAUUGUCAGCAUGUAAGAUUUCAAAUAAAGUGUACCCUUCAGUUUUAUCCAAAUAAACAUCCAGAUCCAGAACUAUGAAUAAAAAUGCAUAGAAGCUAAUUUAGGAAUUGCAGCACGUAAUUCCCCAAUUCCUUCAUCCAGACCCAUUCAACAUCAACUGUAUUCAGGAACACAUAUUAUAUACAUUCUGAACAAACACCACAAAAAUCAAAGAAAUUACAAACCACACAGUAAUCGAGAACCCACCAUAUCAGGCAAGCUUACCGGUGGUAGACUGCUUUGUAUCCUCACUGCAACACCUCGUGCGUCAUACGGAAGGAGGUGUACCUACGGCAGGAUGCGGGUGAGAAGACCGGGGAGAUGAGACGACGAGCAGGAGAGUCAUCAGCGGCACAACGCAGCGCGGGCGCCGGGAGCAGCAAGCAACAAAGGCAAGCAGCAGCGGCAAGCAAAGCAACCAUCACCAGCAAGCGACAAAGCAAGCAGCAAAGCAAGCCAGCAACGAAUAGCAGCAGCAAGCAGCCAGAAGCGGGCAGAGGUGACUCCUCACCUUGCUGUUCGUUGCGGCCGAGUCAGACAGAUCAGGGAGGCGAGAGGAUGGACAACAGCGAGUUCCGGACGGCGUCAAUGGCGGUCAGUGGUCGAGGAAGCGGUAGGAGGGACCCGUGGCUUCGAGUCCGUGGUCCAGGCGUGGAUCCCUUCAUGGUCCCUAUGGCUGCUCCGCGAGGACGAUGACCGUGGCGGCGUCGCAACGGCGGCCGACGUAACCAAGAAAGGUGGCCUUGGUUCAAGAGGUUCCUGCACGCCGGCGCCCGGAAUCACCAUUAAAGGGACAACAGGAGCAACAAUGGAGCUAGGGAAAUACACAGGAGCAUGAACGCACCGGAGAAACGAGGUGACUCACGGCGGCGUCUAGCGGGCAUGCAUGUCGGAGCCGGAGGCGUGGACGUCGAUCCGAACCGACGGCUGGCGGAUCCUGCUGCCCCCUGCAGCUGGCGUUGCAACAGAGAGCGGCGGCAUCCCCGGCGAGCUUGACGAGAAAGGGGAUCCAGGGAGGGAGAAAACGAGUGAGUGAGGUAAUGGAGUGGAGGAGGAGACAGAUGAAGGGACAGCCGGGCAGGAGGCGGCGCGUGUCCCUUGGAGAUGACGCUGCUGGACUGACCUAGGAGACCCACUGGUCAGUGGCAAAGGAGAGGUUGAAAGAAAAUAAAAAUAAAAAAUUGGCUGGAAUAUCUCUUCCUCCUCUACUCCUUCAUAGGCUUCUCAGGAUUAGCAUAAUCUAAAUAUUUCGGUGCUAAAAAAUACAAAAUAUAUUGGAAAAUUUCACAGAUGUUACUACUUAUAUAAUGUAAAUCUAAAAAAUUUCGGAGAGUAUUCGACUGCCCUUUUUCAAAUUCGAAUUCAAAUCUGCCCCAACUUUGGGUUUGAACUAUAAAUAGGUGAUAUAAGAUUCCAAUGCUCAUGAAAUGUUUACGGAUCUUGUAAAUAACAUAUGACCUCCAUUUAUAAAUUUUCAUGAACUUUGAACAAGGGAAUCAUCACCAAACAAAUAUAUUGCAGUUCUGGCAUUUUCUUGAAUUUGAACAAAAGCACUUGAUUCAAAUAUCGUAACAAAUAUAUUGUAAUUUAAUUCUAUGCAUGGAUGGCUCGAUGUCACUGUCGUCCAAAGAUCAUCUUAUUGGUGUUGUGUUCAUAUAUUCAAUAAUGGCUUCAGUUUCAGCUAAAAUCGUCAACUGGACUUACGUGAUUGCGGUGACGUAUUAUUCGGCAAAAAGUAGUAUUGUCGCCUUUUAAUGUUUUCAUUCACAUCCAUGGUCAUAUAUGCUGCUUGGACAAAACAAUUGAUCAACUCUGACCGCAGCUGGUAGGGGGCACCAAACGGCGACUGCUUGCCCCGCCUCCCCCCUCCCAACCCCAUGGGGAGCCCUCCAUUACGGUGCACCACACGAGGAAGGGAUAGGCCCAUCUCGACAGAGGUGGUAGACACGACGUGGAUGGCGGCGCAGGGCAGUUCGACAAGGGACACUUGAGAAUGGAGAACGAUAAGCAAGAUGAGUUCGUGCGUCCUUAUUUUAUUAAAAGUUAACGUCAAGUGUUUUGCUUGGGCCAAGCCUAGAUAGUUAAAAAAGAAUAAACUCUUCCCAAUUAAACAACCACCUAUAAAAAUUGCCUAACAAAAAAGCUAUAGAAAAUAUGUGUAAAAAAUUUUAACACAAUAAAAAAACUUCAAAAUGUUCACAGUUUUACAUAUGUUCAUAUGUUCACACUAUCUUUGUUAGGAAAUAUGUUCUCAUUUGUUUGCAAAACUUAAAAACUCCAAAAAAAAGUUCCAUUUUUUUACCAAAACAAAGUCCAUCUAGAAAUGUACAACCAAAAACAAAACAUUCUUUUCAUCAAAAACACCUGUUCAAAAAAUGUUCUUUUUCCAUAAAAAAUUACUUUUCUAGAGAAAUGUUUCAAUUCUCAUAAAAACGUUAACUACUCUUAAAAAGUGUUCCAAUUUUUAUGAAAAUGUUAAAUUUUAUUUAAAAUAAGGAAUUUUCACGUUUAACAUUAUUAUGGAUGUUUAUUAAAUUUGGAUAUAAAAACUGAUGCACAAUGGCACAUGAAGCUGGUUGUGCCUUUUUUGCCCGGUGCAACGCACGGGCAUUUGUACUAGUGUAUUUAUAAGUGAUUAUUUGUUCAACGAUAGUACCACCUCGGUACUUCAUAUCCAGAACCACCAAUUUAAAUAUGGUUAUGACUUGAAAUAUGCAAGCCACUUGAAAGAUCAAUAGGCAGAGGGAACAAAAGGAUGAUGCCAUGAAGGAAUUAACUGUAAAUCCCCAGGAUUAUGAGGCUGCCAUGAACGAAUAAAUCCAACAAUAAAUGCGAGUACCAGGACUUGAACGUUCAGGUAUUCAUGUACCGGCCGGCCACCAGGAAUAAAUGCGAGUACCAGGACUUGAACCCUGGUGGGCUGGGGAUACCACAGUCUCUCAAACCAUCCAACCACACGUUAGUUCGCAAUGGUCAAAAGGGUUAGACAUGCACAUACAUAAAGCACUGUGUACAAAUACUUGGUUGAAUACCAACAACCAUUGUAUAAAUACGUAUUCAAGUAUUCAUGUACCGGCCGGCCACGCGUGCGUACAUAUCUGAAUACUCGUUGCACCUCAUAGGGAUAGGGCGUGCGUGUGUGCGUUUAUAGGGGUGAGUGUAUGCACGUAUAUAUGAGCGUUUGCGUCUGUACUGUGUUAAAAAAAAUACUCGUUGCACCUAGCUAACUACUCACUCCGUCCGAAAAUACUUGUUAUCAAAAUGGAUAAAAGAGAAUCUAUCUAGACAUAUAUGAACGUAGUCUUCAUACAUGCGUGUGCUACGUAUUUCCCCUUCCGUCAAUUAAACAGGUGCAUGCACGUCUUGGCUCUCCCAAUGAUUCACACUGCCGACAUUGAUCUAGAAAUAAAAUAUAAUUAAACAUAUACGUACAAUGUAUGUUUGGAUAACAGGCUUGCACGCCAAGAAAGUCAAUCGGAAGAGAUCUAAAUUGACAGAGAUAUGGAACGACAAGAUAAGGAAACUUUGAACUAAGGAACCCACGUACCUAGGUGUUGUGCCUAUAUCAGGCCAUCAAGUUUCAGCUAGUUGUAACGGGGAGUAUCAUAUACUAGUAUCAUAUGCAUAAUACUACCUCCCUAAUGCAUAGUAUCAUAUAUUAGUAUCAUGUACUCCCUCCGUCUGAAAAUACUUGUCCUAAAAAUGGUUGUAUCUGGACUUAUUUUAGUUAUAGAUACAUCCAUUUUAUCUAUUUUUAGGACAAGUAUUUCCGGACGGAGGGAGUAGUAUUUUAUUUAUUGUCAUGCAUGACACAUAGCAGUAUAACAGUUAUUAUGAUACGGUAUCAAUGAUAUGAUAUACUCAACUCUUUUUUUUAUUUAAUUCUAUUCUAUGACACCUCAUUAAAAUUGUCUAGUUGGCAUGCAUAAUAAUAGCUAUGAUACUACUAUUAUAACCAGCCUCAUGUCGCGAGGGAGAGGAAAACUAGACGAGGCACAGGUGGAGACCAGCCAUGCAUAGGCCAGAUGAGAAACAAAGCCGCUGGCUGGUCGUCCUGAGAUAGUAACUCACAGGCCAACACCGUGAGGCAUGCACACACGUAGAAGAGCCCGAGCACAAGCACGCCGAGGCUCUCCUCGUGAGCUCGCCUACCACGAGCACAUCCCUCGUCAGAAGCAGCCAUUACCAUCACACGCACGCGUUGCUCGCAAUCAAAUCACCAUAAGAGCGGUCGCGGCAGGACGCAUCAAACACACCGUCAAACUUGCCAUAGAUCGCCAAAAGAGCGACGCGCAAGUGAGAAGAUCCACAAAAAUUGGGAGAUCAGCCGAGAGAGAUCUUCCUGAUGCUUCAAUGGCCAACAUGCCGGGGCACUUGAUACUCUUCUUUACUGGUGAGCUUUACCCUCAAGUCUCCUCUCCUAAAUUUUCUUUAUGAAGAAAUACUCCGCGACACAAGCAUGUUCGUCAUCAUGGAUCAUGUUGCCAAACCGAUCGGUGCCGUCAGAAAGACAGAUGCAAGGAUAAAUUCCUCCAUCGAAGUGACACCCGAAUCAUGACUUUCCGGUGCGGCAGAAUCCAAGUGCAAAAUACAAACAAGCACGGGAUGUCUUUUUUUAUAUGAUAAUACGUGUCUCCUUAAUAAAAUAAAGAUUCAGUUACAAGCCACGUGAACAUCGACGUUAUAGGACUGAAAACAUAGGAUAAUCCUAUGCAAAAAACCAGCGUCUGUCACUCUCCACUAAGAAAAAGGAGACAGAUCACCUCUUCACACGAGCUCGACACGGCUCCAUCGCUGAUCAGCAGCUUUACGGACCUCCAAAGUAGUUUGCUUGAAGCAAAACCAUUGCCGUUGAAAGAAUCAGACCGGGGCAACAUGUCCCCGGACACGCCAUCGAACUCCAGAACUGACACCCCCACACGACUAUGACAUCGGAGGAGGAAACCAGAACUGUCAGCUUUUAGCCACAAACCCAGCACAAGAUACACCAUCUUCCAGCUGUCACUUGCCUAGACAAUCGUCUGCGCGUACUCCUGGACGACAAAACCUCCCUGCUCCACCAUGACGUCGGAGAUAACGCCGUAGCAACGGGGACAGAGCAGAAGGAGAGACACACCUGAUGGAGUCACCGCCGCCGCCUCGCCGACACCAUCCAUGAACCCUAACGUCGCCGAUCUGAAGGAUCGGCAAAUACACGAUGCCAUCAACUCCGAGACGCCGCCAUGAUCAGCACCGCCAGUGUGAGAGUGGAGUUGAGGCAGAUUUAUUCGCCCGGGCGCCGCUCCCACCACCCCAACGACGCACCACACCUACAAAUCCAAACCCUAACUACUGAGCGGAGAAACGGGGUCCCCCCUCCCUCCUGCUGCCGGAGCAGCAGCCGGAGGGAGAGGGGGCCAACUUCCUGGACGAUGGAGAUCGGUGGAAGAAGAUUCGCUUCCCUAGUCGCCUGGUUGUGGCGGCGGUUAGGGCAGGGGGAAAUGCCUCGCGUCAACUCGUCUCCGAUUGAUCUGGGGACCAAGGGCUGCUACUUGCGCGACAAGCAUGGGAUGUCUACUCCUACAAGAAUAGCUCACCGUUACAUCGUACAAACCGUGAUGAGCGUAUGCGGCCAAGCCAAAUACGGAGUCAAUACAAUAUGGUUGAAGUGCAGCCCCUCACAAGGAGGCGAGCUCCAUAACAUCAAAAUUCGUGGCGCCCCUCACGAGGAGGCAGACUGAUUACCGCAUUGAUUUCCCCCUUACGAGGAGGUGACAUUAAUCCUUACGUCCGCCCUUUAUGAGGAGGCGGAUCAUUGCACUAAUUUCAUCCCUUACGAGGAGGCGAGAUUAGUCAAGUUACGCCCCUCAUGAGGAGGCGAGCUCAUUACGUUGAUUUCGUCCCAUACGAAGAGAUGAGAUUAAUCCCUAUGUGUGCCCUUUACGUGGAGGCGGAACGAAUCAUUAUACUGAUUUUGCCCCUUACGAGGAUGUAAGAUUAGUCAAAUAUUGUUGUAGUUCCGCCCCUCACGAGGAGGCGAGUUCUGUAACACUAAAUUAGUUUCGCCCCUUACGAGGAGGUGAGACUAAUCUCUAUAUUGUUUCUGCCUCUUACGAGGAGGCGAGGAAAUAAUCUGACAUUAAUCUUGCUCCCACGAGCAUGCGAGUUUAAUAUACGUUUUGUUGCAAGCACCGCCUAAUAUGCAUUUGUGAUAUUUUUCUUCAUCGACAUCUUGGUCGAGUGUCGACGAGACCAAAGGCUACACAUACAUCACCAUUAUUUCCACCACAUGUCCAAUACCGACGAGGCUAGGCAAAACUAUGGCUGAGUGCCGACGAGGCCGGGUCACUGUUCUCUUGACAUGUCUCAAACCUAUAGGGUCGGACACAUCGUUGCUAGGCACCGAUGAGGCGAUAGCUACACAUGUCCGCGUCUGAUGAAAUCAGGGCGAUACAUGAUUGGGUACCGAUGAGGCGAAAGUCAUCCCCUUCAUCUACACAUGCUGUUGAUCGCACCAACAUGUCGAUAGUACAUGUGACUGGGUAUUGGCGAAACAAAGCCACCCGCACAAAUAUUCACAUAAAAUAUCACAUGCGUAUGGAUGAGCAAUCCAGCACACGACGACCACCAUCAGCGCAGCUUAAUCGAAGGUAUCCCGUGGGCUCGAUCCCGCGGAUGUAAUUAACCAGAUGCUUGCAAACACACCGGGAAUCAUUGAACUACCCAAUCACCUAGUCAGAUACUCCGUGAGGGCGAUGUAGAAGGCAAAAAAGGAUAAAAUUCCUAUGGGAGCAUUAUCUUGUAUUUUGUAGGAUGCAAUGAUAUUAAUAAAAUGCAGUGUUCCCCCAUGUUCAUUUGUCCAUCUAUUUUUGUCUAUCUUUCAUUUGUCCAACUAUUUUUGUCUAUCUGUUUAGUGUAUUUUUCUUGUUUUCUGUAAACAAGUGGCAAGCCCGUAUAUAUUUAUUUCUUGUACGCAUUAGGAAAUACCCUCCCUAAAUAGGGAGCGGCGCGUUUCUUUUUGGCGAAACAAAAUGGCACGCCCAGUGGGACCUGAUUCUCCUCCCAUCUUUGCUGCACUCCAAUGGUCGUCAAAUUUUCCAAGUAUUUGUUUGCUUGUCCAAAUCACCACAAGAGGAUGUUGUAAAAAAAUAGCACGCAUCUAGUGCGUCAAAAUAUAUAUGCACAUGUACAUCCGUGCGUUCAAGCUGAAAAUGCACGGAGCACACAUGGUGCCUCUGUUCCAAAUUAUUUUGCACAGGAAGAUUGUCCCUGUUUGAAAAGAAAUAGGCAGCACUGGUUGAGGUUGUGUAUCAACCAGAGUAGUGGACCACAUGUACUGAUUGGAUAAUCUAUAUAGACCAUCGUAAUCCUCAUCAAUCACUGUCAAAGAUCAUAUCAUCAUCUAGGCAAUUUUGUUAAAUAUACAACAUUGUUUGCGGCAGUAUAUUAGGAGAAGCAGGACUUCGUAAUCCUUGAUGUAUCAUCAAUCACUGUCAAAGAUAUCGUCAUCUCAGCAAAAAAAAUAAAUAUACAACAUUGUUUCCUGCAGUAUAUUAGGAAAAGCAGAACUUCGUAAUCCUUGAUGUAUCAUCAAUCACUGUCAAAGAUCAUAUCAUCAUCUAGGCAAUUUUGUUAAAUAUAGAACAUUGUUUGCUGCAGUAUAUUAGCAGAAGCAGAACUUAUUGCAAGGAACAUGUUGAUAGCACCAUAUCAAAUUGUAUUCAUUUUGCUUCAUACCAUAGUGAUGUGGAUACUUAUGAAAUAUGUGUAGCUAGAAAUUUGAAACUCUGUGAACCUAAACUGUUGUGGCACAAGUGACUAUUAUAUGGAUGGUUCUGGUUUUAUUAAGAUAGGAAGAUGGAAUAUGUUUUCUUCCAAACAUACAUGAACACCAUGGCCAUGAUAGAAACAGAACAUUCAUGCUGUAGAAACGGCAAUAGAAAUCCCACCUCCAACAGGAAAAUUAACUCUGAAAUUACUAAUUGAAAUGAGCCAUGGGUGGCAGCUGUAGGAUUCCAACUUACAGGUAGCCUCAUGAUAUUUACCUGGGGCUCGGAAAAGGCCUACUGGUACCAACAAUAUUAUUCAACAUGCAAAGAAAACAGCUAGGUACACUAAACUAUGAAUGGAGAUAACACAUUAAAUUGUACAUACCCCCAAAAACCAUUAACUCGCAGGUCAUGGUGGGUCUUUCGCACUUCACCUGAACCCUGUCACGAGUUAUCCUCUCAAUCUGCUAGAAAUACCACAACCUCUUUCAAGUUUCAUCAAUCCUACACAAUCCACAAUAAAGAUGUUCAUUAUAAGAAAUACAGCCUAUAUUUAUAAUAGAGAAUACUGAAGCAUUGCAUGUAUACUCAGUCGCUAACCUCUUAUGGCCAUUUUCUCAAACAUCUGAUGAGCCACUUAAUAAAAGAAAUCAAUCCUGAUGGUCACAAAAUCAUCACAUACAUGCAGCUCACAGAAUGAUGUUUUCAAUCUUCUGCUGCUUCUUUUGUACUUACACAAGCCUAGGAACAAAAUCAACACAUUAGUAUGAUCUAUCCAACAUCAGUCAUUGGAGCAGAGACAACCAAAAUUGGCUAACAAGUUGUAAACUAACUUUGGAAAUCUCAUGCUGCAUAAACAUAUCAAGCAAUUCCUCUUCUCUUCACCACCCGUUUUUUUCCACUCAGAGAAAAAAUCACAUGUUUGUCAAGAAAUCAUAAUUAAAAAAGCCGCGCCUAGGCUCUAGGCGUUGGCAAAACGCAUUGCGCAUAACUAUGUUUAAUCCACACAUAAUUGCGCAUAAUCAUGCGCUUUAGUCAGUAGAGCGCAAGCCGGUGGCAAAACACACAAUUAACGCCUAGCGCUUUUUUGAACUUUGCAUGAAACCAAAAGGAACCUAACCCAAGGAAGAAAAUAGCUUGCAGCCACACAGGCAUUUUAUCGAGCAGGUCAAAAGCAUGGGAGAAAGAAAGAGGCUCACCUUGGAACAAACGCACAACAGAAGACAAAGCAGCAAACCAGAAGAUGAAAACGAAAUAAGAAAAGAGCAUGAAUGAGUAGAUAACGCAAGCAAUGGACGCGCGAAAUCGAUCCGGUGGAAGAGCACGUAGAUCCUUACCCUAACCACACACAUAAAUGACCCUCUGGACAGGGUGGAUCACAUCCCUCUGGUUCGAUCCCGUGCAGCGUCGUGUUCUUGCGCCACCACUCCUGGCAGGGCCACAAGGCGUGAGGGGUGAGAGACAACUAACGAAGUAGAUCGACACGGGAGGAGACGCACCAGAAAAAGGGGAUCUUAAGGUAGGAGGAGGCACAGAGCUCCUUACCUUGACUCGGAUGUCGAAAUUGCCGAG
rnacentral:lncRNA from 1 species